rnacentral:lncRNA from 1 species
UAAGCCUCCCCUGCUGUUUUCUUUUCUAUCCUCUGUUUUUGCUCAGCCGAAAAACCCCUCUCGGCCUUUCUCUUCUGUUUUCGGUCCCUCUCAAAGCUGUCCCGGUUAAUCCUUCUUGCGUUUUUUCGAUUCCUCUGUUCUCCGCCGAAAACCUUCCCCAUUUUCUUGCUCUCUAUUCUUUCUCUUUUCCUCUUUUCCCGCUGCUCUGUUUUUUUCUUGUUUUUUCUUGGCUCUGCAGCCGCUUGCGGCUCUCUAUUUUUUUUCUGUUCUGCUUCCCGAAGCCUUUACUUUUUUUCUGUUUUUUUUUUCAUUUUCCUGUUUUUUCCGUAACCUCCCUAGCCGGCCAUCCCCAAUCCUUUUCCCCUUUUUUUUUUUUUUUUAAUUCCUUUUUUCUAAGUGACUAAGCACUUUGCCACCUUGUGAUGUGUUGUUAAAAAACUAAAAGUGACAUUUGCCUCCAUGCAUGCCUAUCCACUUGUCAUUUUUUCCUUUUUUUCCUUUUUCCUCUUUUCCCUUUUUCCUUUUGUUUUUCCAUUUUCAUCAUUUUUCAUUUUCAUUCAUUUUUCCUUUUUUUUUUCAAUAUUGAAUUUUGAAUCAAAAAUAAUUAAAGCAUGUUCUUUUUGAAUUUUCCUCAUUUUCCCAAGAAAUUUGAUGCUAAAACAAAAAACUAAAAAUAAAAAAGUGAAUAAAACUAAAACAACAAAUAAAAAACUAAAAAAACAGUAAAUGAAAUUACACCAAAAAUUUGGUGUCUACACUUGUGUUGGGAUUGAAAUCGAGCAUGUUAGGGAACGAGAAUCGUCUAGUUCCAAUUAAUCUAGUGAAUCUCUACUGGUGAUCUUUCAUAGUGAGACGAUGGGAGUAGAACUUAAGAGUUUGCGCCUUGGAGAUGAAUGUACUUGUGAUAAUCACUUGUUUAUUUUUGUUAUUGACUUUGACUUGGCAUGAACUUUACUUGGCCAUAAUUUGUGUUAUGAUUUAAUGAACUCUAGUUUGUGUUUACUUGCAUAGUGAUAAUGUUAUUUGUGAAAGUGUUUUCAUCCUCUUUAAAUGUUGCUACUGGUAUAUGAGUGUAGUUCAAUUUUAACUAAGUGUGAGGGUUAUGCAUGUGCGUAUAGAUUAGUUGUGGACAUGGAAACUAGAGGACAACGAAAGGGACGUCAACCUAGACCACCCCGAAAUGAAAGAGUAGCUAAUGGGUCCGAUAUCGAUCAAAACGUUGAGCUAAGUGCUGGGAGAGGAAAUGACCAGAUAGGACAAGUUUUAACUCGCAUGACGGAUAUCCUAGAGCUCUUGGUAGCUCAACAAGGUCAAGGUGUUGGACAAGGAAACCAACGUGGAAACCAAGAGAUAGGGGAGGAUCGAGCUUUAGAGCGGUUUCAGAAAUUCUCUCCGCCCAAGUUUGCUGGAGGGCCUGAUCCAGAGGUGGCUGAGAAUUGGUUAGAGAAUAUAAGAAAUAUAUUCGACGCCUUGGAUUACACAGAGGAGAGACAAGUCAUAUUUGCUGUAUUUCAACUUGAAGGAGCAGCCCGAGCAUGGUGGAAUGUUAUAAGAAAUAAGUGGGAAAGAGAUCAAACUCCGAGAAUUUGGAUAAACUUCGUGCGUGAAUUUAAUGAGAAAUUUCUUCCUCCACUUGUCCAAGAAAAGAGAGAAGAUGAUUUUAUAAAGCUUCGUCAAGGAACUUUAAGCGUAGCUGAGUAUGAAACACGCUUUACGAAGUUAUCUACAUAUGCCCCAGAAUUGAUGGCUAUUGAACGGAAGAGAAUAAGACGGUUUAUCCAAGGAUUAGAUUUGGAAAUCCAAGAUGCCCUUGCCGCAGCACAGGUUGAAACAUUUAGUGAUGCUCUUGAAAAAGCGCAAAGGGUAGAAAGCACAAAAUCUCAACUGAGAGCUUUUCAAAAAGGAAAAGAGAUACAUCUGACAGUACACUAGGAAAAAAUGGACCACCAUCCAAAGUUAGAAAAGAAGUGGAUGAAAUAGGACUGUUACUUCCUGCACCACUCAUGAUAAAGGAACCAAAAGGAACUAUGUCACGAGGGACUUCAGUAGGACAAACACGAUCAAAGAAAACCUCGCAAGCAAGUCAGGUCACAACACCUCGUCCGACUUGUGGAUAUUGUGGAAGGACGAAUCACACUGAAGAAAACUGUUGGCUAAAGGGACGAAAGUGUAUGGGAUGUGGGAGUACCAAUCAUAAAGUUCAUGACUGUCCAAGGAGGUAUCCACGAGAAACUACUGCUCAACAAGGAAAUGGAACUGUUUCUCGACAAGUCAAUGGAAGGAGAAACCGACCAAUGGCAUCUGAAAGAACGCAUGACAUGAACACCCCACACGGUUCAGAGUUGUCUGAGAUUACAGAAGGUAUGAAUUUCGAGGACGAAAUUCUUUUAAGGAGGGGAGGUUGUGAGGACUCGCAAAAUUUACUUAUUUAAUCUCCUAUUUCUAGCUUAUUUAAUUAUUUAUUUGGUCUUUUACUCCGAAUAUUAUUUUCUAAGCUCUUGAGACCUAAUUACAUGGAAAUAUAGUUUCAUUAUAUUUUUAAAAUGACUUGUUUCAAAAAUUAAUUUUCGGAAGCUCGUUUUGUAAAAAUAGUGAACACGUCUUUGGAAAUCUUGAUCGAUUGAGAGUACAAUAGGUUUGAAAUAUUGGAGACAUGUACAAUGGACCUAAAUUAGGCAUUUUAAUGUUUAAAUACUCAAGUGAUAGUUAUUAGUACUAUCGUUAUAAGAAUUUCUCGGAAGUUUCGCGUUAUUGCGCUUAAAUUGGAGAUACGCGUUUUCACACGCGCAAUUUAAAUUGAGGAACUUUAGACCCUUAUUUUGGGACAAUUAAGAGUGAAUAAUAUUUAUAUGAAUAUAAAUGCAUUAGAAGUUUAGUACACUAGUGAAACAAACGCGAGAGGAAUCGAGCACAAAACGCGCGCGUGCGCGCACUUUUUGCGGUUGACUUUUGUGCACCCAAUCCUUAGUCAUUAAGCUUCCUUUGGAAGCCUCAUUUCAGACCACAAUUUCUCUCUCUUGCUCCCUCAUCUGGCCGAACAACAAAGCAAGAAAAACAGCUCAAGAGUUCUUCCAAUUCCUCCAUCAAAUCUUCACCAAACCUCUUCCAAUUCACUCCAAAUUCGAACUACACUUAGCUUAACACUUGAGGAGUAUUUUGAGCUGCAAAAGGGAGCUGAAAAGCCACGAUUUUCUGGAGCAAAGAGUGACCAAAAUUUCUGAUCUAAUCAUCCAAGAAGGUAGCAAAUCAUCCAACCCAUAGAUCUUAGUUUUUGUAAGAUUUAUUGCACAUAUAAGGUUAUAUAAUCAUGUGGGUAGUCUUGUUUAUGGUAUAAAAUGUGAAAGUGGGCUCUAUGAACUCCCACUCUUGGGUUGUUGCUGAUUUGAUGUUGGAUGAUGAAAUUAAUGGUGGUUUAGUGCUUAUAUUAGUAGAUUAAUGUUGUAUUGUUGGUAGAAAAUCAAAGGAGGUGCUUGGAGCAAAAGUGACCGUUUUACCCCUGCCUUGUCCGACCGUUUUCGUGCCAGAUUUUGAGAUUCUAAUGAAUUGAUUAUGUUGUUUAUCUAUUAUUGUAAGUGUGUACAAAAUUUCAUUGAAAAAUAACAUGAUUUGGUUGGUCAAAUGAGUUGAUUUCCAAAGUUAGCAAAACUGGAAAAUGAAUCCCGUAUUGCCCAGGCAGUCAUUUUGUAACGGCCAUAACUCUUUGUUCCGAUGUCGAAAUCAAGUGCCGUUUGCGGCAUUGGAAACUAGACAUUCCUAGCUUUCCAUCGGUACCAAUUUCACAUUCUGGUUCCACUUGAGUGAGCCACACCAUUCGAUUGAAUAUCACUGUCCUGUUUCGUUGCUCUCCAGGAGACAGGACAGAAAUUGCUUCUUGAUGCUCAAAAACGAGCUAUUUGUGAAUGGAAUUUGAAAAUGGUUUCUUCUGAGAAAAUUCAGCUUUAGAAGAGAGCUUUCCAACGCCAUCAACCACGCCCAAUUCCAAGUUGAAUGGAGUGAGUUGUGGCCAAAGUUUGAAACUGCUACAGUGAUAGAAUUUUCCACUUGGACAGAUUUGUAACUAACAAUGAUUUGGGACUUGUUGUUUUGGAAACUUUGAUGUCCGACAUCUACCAAACUUUAGAUUAGAUGUUCCUUGGACUUUGUUUCACAAAUAAACCAGAUUUGGGUUGGUUGCUUUGGACAAAAUGUUUAAAAAGGAAAGAAGAGCUAGAAGACAGUUUUACCUUGGGAAAUUUCCUGAACUUUGAUGGUUUAGUUAACUACCUUCCCGUGUGAAUUUUCAAAUGAAAUUUGAUAGAAGAGUAAUCCUCAUAUGGAGGUUUAAUUGUACAAAAUUUGGUAAUAUUCUAAGACCAUUUUGAUAUGCAAAUGAUGUCACAAAAUUCGCUCAUCGAAUCUGGAAAACUUUUCGUUUUCUCUUAGCCAAAUGGUCAAAUCUGAUUUGGAGAGUUUUAUUUCUAGAAUUUGGAUGUCAAUGGUCUUUAAAUUGCUCAGUGGAUGUUUAUGAACUCUUGGUUUCAAUAAUGGAGAGAUUUGAAACUGAUUUCAUGGUACAAAAAGUUUGUAAACGAAAGAAAAGUGAGAAGGUAGUUUAGCCUUGAAACUCUUCAUAAACUUUGGUUGUUUUAAUGACUACCUUACCGUGAGAGUUUUUGUACGAAACUUAGUAGAAAUGUUGUUCACACAUGGAAGAUUUAGUGUACCAAGUUUGAUGUAUUUCUAAUGCCAACUUGAUGACCAAAUGAUAUUUCGAAUCUAGUUUUAAACCUGGAAAAUAGCCCAACAGUCUUAACUUUUUCAGCAACUUGGAGGUACUAUAUCUUGGUGCUCGAAACUCCGUUUCUCGUUCCGCUUGUUUUGUUAUACUCUUGGAUUGCAACACUAAUUGAUUUCCAAAUUUCAAAGGUUAGUUCAAAACAAGUGAAUUUUUCCGAAUUUCUAAAGUUGGCCAAAAACCAACUUAAAUCUGUCUUGGUAAUUCAAGUUACCAACUUUGAGCCAAAAUUUGAGUGCCUUUCACUUACAUUCGUGGAAAAGUGUCUUCUAAGAACUUUUAGUACUUUGAAAGAGGAUUCCAACAGUACCAAGUUUUCCAAUUUUGGACUUGUGGAGAGUGAAAUAUGAUUUUUCAAAUAUUGCUUGUUAAAUCUGGAAUUUUCUAACUUAAAGGAAACUAAGGGUUUCAAACCCUCCAUUUUCCUUCAAUAUCAUUUGAUCGUUUUACAUUUGAUUUCAAAGAUGGAAAUCAGAUUUGUCUUGUAUUUUAAAACCCACUUUUGAACCUCGAGUUACACGAACUCUUAGACUCGUCUCUGCGUUAAUUUCUUAGAUUGUACUAGUGUACAAUUUUCCUCGAUAAUUAGAAUGAUUUUGAGUGGUAGUUGAUUAUUGUUUGCUCAGGCACUCGAGGGAAUCUCCCAGAGGAACUCGGAGCGGACACCUAAGACGCUUGUUUAAGAACUACUCGCUUGUUUUGACUAGGUGAGUGUUCCAUAUAGGAAUACGUAAUUGGAAUAAGUCUAUGACAUGCUUAACCCAUGGUCAUUAAGUAUUUACCACACUCAUGCUGUGAGAACCCGUAAAUUCCCUAAUAAUUUUCUAGGGUUUAUUUCCUUUAAUGGCAUGUUUUCUGCAUUUUCUGGUUUAGGAAAAUUCUCCUGAUGCAUUUUAUGAGUAAUUAUAGUUUUUAUAUGAAUUUUCUAGUAUUGGAGAGUUUUCGAAAAAUUAAGGAUAGAUAACGGACGUGGGACCCACUAGUGCGAUAAGUUCGGAAAAAAAUUCUACCAAUAAGUUUAAGUUUCGGAUACUGGUUGAAAUUUAUCGGGUGUUAAGAGAUAAGUAGAGGAUGUCAUUUGGAUUGGUAUGAGGGGGAACAAAGAGAUAGAGAUUCAUUAAUUAGGUGACAAGUGUCACCAUUUGAUUGGAUGGACACUAUUCACUUUUUGACUUUUUUACCAAGUGAUUAAAUAUCUUAAAAUUUCACAAAAAUCACCAUUUCUUCUCUCUCUCAUGGCCGAACCUCUUGCAAGGAAAAGGAAGAAAACUUCUCCAAGUUUCAAGCUUCAAACUAGCUCAAUCUUCCAUUCCAACCGAUUAAACUUAGAAUUGUUCCAUAAAAUCCCUCUAGUUGGUGCUAGUAAGUGAUUUGGUGAAGUUUUUUUUGAAGAGCUAAGGUGGUCUACAUCUCUCCCUCUCUUGUUUACUUGGUAAGUGGUAUAUGAACUCCCUUCUAUACUUAAUGAUGGUUAAUUGGUGCCUAGUGGAAGCUAAAGUGAUGGAUUAUGUGAGUUAUUUCUUGAUUUGUGAUGAAUUGGUGAAGUUUUUAUUUUUUUGAGGAAUUUUCUGGUUUAAUGUGAUCAUGGUGUUGUGGUUGUUUAUGAUGGUUGGUAAUAAGGGGUAAUGACUUUAGUAGGUGUAAAUGAUUGGUAAUUGCAAGCAAUUUUGGGUUUGGAGGAGAUUUCAGCAAAAUAGGGUUUUAUACCCCAAAUUUCUGUCCGAUUUUGUAUCUUGUGGUUAGAGACCGAAUUGGCCUUUACUCAAAACAUUAAAGUUGUAGGUAUUGAUGUGUUUGAGGUGCCUGUAAAAUUUCAGGUCAUUUGGAUGAGUGUAGAGUGAGUUAUGACGGAAUUACUGUAGCUGUUCUGCUUUGGACAGAAUGCGAAAUCUGCACUGGUAAUUGGCCAUUUUGACUGGAAUCGGUUUGGAUUUUGAAGUUGGUGUCUUCUGAUGAAAUGUAGCUGGAUGUCUUAGCUACCAUAUGCCUUUGGAAUUUCGGCAUUUGGACCUAUAUAGACUGAAUUAUAGUAAUUACAGUUUUGUGUGAUUUGCAAACCUGUUUUGGUCAUUCUGGUUUAGUAUCUGGAAUAUUUGACCUAGUUAAGCUAGGAACUGGAUUGAGUGACCUUCUGCAUUGUUGUAGCCCUGUUUCAUAGCUUCGAAACGGUGGGUCUUACACCCCCAUCCGAUAAUCGUAGUGAAAUUGACGCCAUUACCGCAUUAGGAGGUCAAAACUGUUUUUAUUGUUGGAACAAAUGAGUUACAUUUCCUGAUUUUCUGGUUUGCUUUAAUGCUUAUUUAUGCAUAUGAAACCUUAUUGGGGUUGUGGUUGGCAUGGCUAUAUGACUCGUUAUCGAGUCUCUUUUGGGGCUUGCUUUCAUUUCGGUUGUUUCCUAGCUAAGUUUUGUGCUUGUACUACUUUGAGCCUAGUGAACGGCUUUUGGGAAAUGAGAUGACUUUUGUGUGAAAUGUUGGGACUGAUUUGAGGAUAUAAUGAAGCCUUAAUGGCUGGAAAAGUAAGAAAUUUAGGGGAAGUGCUGCCCAAUUUUCUAGGCCGUUUGGUUUCUUUAAGUUGGAUUGGCCUUUUUGUGGAAAUGAAAGGCUUUUGGGUUGUUUGUGCCUAAGUCUUCAUACUAACUUUUCGUUUUCAAGAAAAUCAUGUUUUUGUACCCUUGCAUUAGUAUGUCUCACUUGUGCAUUCCGUUUAUUCGAUUUUAGAUAUGAAACCUUCAAUUGGUUUAUUUUGAUUAUUUUAGGGUUUCUUGGCGAUUAAGGCCAAUCUGAAGUGAAACUUUUUGAAGUUGAAUUGGUGAGUGUACCACUCCCCUUCAUUGCUGUUUAACUUGAUUUCUGCUCUGUAAUCUGUUAAAUUUGUUUGAGACGAGGGUGUACUUUAUCACACUCGUUCUUUUAUCUGUUCAUAUGCCAAUUUUGAGUGCCUAUCUGAAUCUGCCGUCUGAAUCUGCUAUCUGAAUCUGCUAUUCUGUAUCUGUAUCUGAAUCUGUUAUCUGUAUCUGCAUCUGUUCGGAUUUCUAUGACCUAUGAGCUCAAUCCUGUGGCUAAGUUAUUCGAGUCGGGCCGGCAAGGGCCUGGACGAUUAGAUAACGAACCACGGUAGUCUGUUCGGGGAUUUUUGGGUAUUGAGACCCUUGAUUCCGGUAUACUCGAGUAUUACCAUUUCUGUUCGGUUACGGUGAGCGGGCCCGGUAAAGGGGUGUUUGGUGGACGGAAUUCGGUGUAAAGAGGGGUCUACGGACGUUUUGGUUCUAUAUACGUUGACGGAGAGUCAACCAAUUUGGAUCAAGUACUGCGCUGGAAAUUUGGCUCCUGAGAGCCACCCGUAUCCUUUUGAUUUGAAUCAUUGGUUCCUUUGCUUUACAUCUGGCAUGUGUAUCUGAUUUGAAAAAUGUGAAAUGCCAUGAUUUUUCUGCUAUCUGUUUGGUACCUCAUUGAGCGCAAGCUCACCCCGUUCUGUCCCUUUUGUUUUCCUUACAGGAAAAUAAAUACUUUUGGACUGGAUUUGAUAAUCGGUUGCCGACUUGAGCUAGUUGAACAUAUCUUUUGUAUAGCUCAUGUAUUAAAACCCUAAGUGUACUUUUGGGGCGUUUCUCUUUUGAUUUGGCAAACCGUGUAUAUGUAUUAUCUUUUGAAAGCUUUUGUAUGUCAUUUUGAUUUGUAAACGCUAAAGUUCAGAUGUAAAUGUUUGUUAGCUAUUUCGGUUGGGUUCUGAUGGGUCGGUUACUAUUCAUGGCCGGCUCCGGAUUUCAUUUCAUUUUAUCUUGGGUUGUUUUACUAUUUUGAUUUGUUUACGCGAGUUUGUAAGUUCCAGAUUGAAGCGGAUAGCUCUAAUCUGAUCCGUAGUCCUGGCGAGAGCUGGGCAGGCAGUCCGCUAACCCCUUUGGUUCGCCUUAGGGGAAAGUGGGGCUGUUACACAUGCACAUUUGAAUAAUGUAUACUUGAAUUACUCGACAUGAAACACCUGAAGUAGGUAUAUUUGAACUAUUCGAUAUGAAAUGCUUAAAGAGCAUACUUAUGUGAUUACUUGAAAUACUAGAUAUGAAAUGUUUGGAGAGCAUAUUUACAUGAUGUGUUUAAAUGAUUAAUUAUGCUAUGGAAGCAUAAGUCGGUUGGAGUAAAUCUCCUCGACUCUUACGUGGUGAAAGUGAAAAACGGCCAAUGGCGGCCUAUUGAAAUGACAUAUGUCUACCAAUUAACCGUAAUUACUACCGUUAACCGUUUACCGUUAACCGUGUUUACUUACCGUUUUCUAAUCUAUUUGGUUACUUGCUUACUUGGUUAUCUGCUUACGUGAUCACCAACUUACUUGGUUACUUGACCACCUGAUUACUUGAUUAUCAUGAAUCACAUGUUAUAUGAAGCUGUCCAUCAUUAUUAGGCGAGUGUGUACUUUACCUCACUCGACCUACUCAAAUGAUGAAUUUUACCUUUUGUCGAAUUACUUGGUUACCUGUGCAUGUUGUAAGCUCUAAGCUGAACUUGGGCCCUGCCCUUGGUUACUGACCUACUCGAGCCAGGACUGGGCUCGGUCGGGUAGGUUGGAACCCUGGGCCACCGUUUCGGUAUACUCGAGUAUUACCACUGGAGGGAUAAGGCGAUGGCCAGACCGUACCGUGGGGAUCAGAAGUCAUAAGGUGCAGAUGACCGACAGAGUUCCACUGGAACACCGUAUCCUACCGUAUAUGUUUACCUUGUAUCAUGAUAAUUGUUUCAUGCUAAAAUGCCAACAUGAAAUCCUGAACUAUGCCUGUGAUAUGCUCCAUACCUGUUACCUGACCAAUGUACUUAUAUCAUGAUACCUGUCUCAUGAUAAAUGUCUCAAAUUACUCGUACAAUGAUUAUCACCUCAUGAUAACACGCCAUUGUGUAACAUUGAACCAUGCAUAUGAUAUGCCCAACUUACUUGAUUUAUUUGAACUGUUAGAGUGUAUUGGAACCUCACUGGGCUAUGUAGCUCAUCCCACGUUGUGGUUUUCUUUUACAGGGUUCGAGACCAAGGGUGCUCGUGAGUAGUACUAGAUUGUUUUCUUUUGAAAACUUUAAGUUAUAUUAUAACGGAUGGCUAUUGUACCCUUUUCCGUUGGGUUGUAUUUAAGCUUGGAAGCUGCAUAAUUGUAAGUGUGAGAUAUUUGGAGUACUUUAAUUAUGUAUUGAAGUUACUUAAAGUAUUUCGAGCUUUUGAAUGAUGGAUUGUAGUGAGUCCUGGCGAGAGCUGGGCAGGCGUCCUGCGGAUACCCUUUGGUUCGCCUUAGGGAGAAGUGGGGGCGUCACAAAUUCGGCCUCUAUCUAGGAGUAAAAAAAACGGGCAGAAUGUUCCAACCAAAAACCCUAACUUGCUGAAAUUCUUCCAAACCAGAAAUUGAUUGCAAUUGUUCACUUUUCCCACCUCCUUAAGUCAUUAUAUACCAUUUCUAAUCAUCCUAGAUAGCCACACAAUCAUGCUUAUAUUAAAACAGAAAAAUCCCCGAAAAUAACAAAACUUCAUCAUUUCAACCACAAAUUAAGAAUUAAUCCACAAAAUUGCCUCUUAUGCCACUACUAAACAUAAAUUAAACAUCAUUAGAGGGAGGAAAGGGGUUCAUCAUGACUUACCUUAGAAACAAGAGAGAGAGAGCUAUUGAUCACCUUAACUUUCCAAAAGAAACUCCACCAAACAACUCACAAACACUAAGUGAAGAGGUUUUAUGGAGUAAUUGCAAGAUCAAAUGGUUGGAUGGUUCACCUUGAGCAAGAUUGGAGCUAAAACUUGAAGAGUUUCUUGCUUCCUUUUGGAGAGAGAGGGCCGGCCAUAUGAGGAGAGAAAAUGGUGAUUUUUGUGCAAUUUUUAAGAUAUUUAACCUUUGGUCAAAAAAAGUCAAAAAUUGGAAUAGUAAAUCUUAAAGUAAAACCAAUAAGAGGGUGACACUUGUCACCCCAUUAAUGCAAUCUUAUCACUUCUUUUUCCUCUCACAUCAAUCAAAUCUCACUCUCUACUUAUCUCUUAACACCCGAUAAAUUUUACACAGGAUCUGAAACUUAACCUUAUUGGCCGAAUUUUUCCGAACUUUUCGCACUAGUGGGUCCCACGUCCAUAAUCUCUCCGUAAUUUUUCAAAAACUACCCAAUGCUAGGAAAAUCAUCUAAAAACUAUAAUUACUCAUAAAAAAUCCUCAGGAAAAUUUCCUAAGCCAGGAAAUGCAGAAAACAUGCUAUUAAAGGAAAUAAAACCCUAGGAAAAUUAUUAAGGGAUUUACGGGUUCUCACACUCUCUCCCCCUUAAAGAAAUUUCGUCCUCGAAAUUUUCUUAUCAGUAGAAUCCAUCGAAUCUAAGGUACCCAACGGAUCGUACCUUCUCCAUCCUCAGACGAGUCAGGGACCUGAUGCUGCUCUAGAGAAUAUACUCGAGCUGGUGCCUUCGAUCCCGUCCCUUCUCCUUUCGUCUGUCCAGGGUUGCUCUUGGCGGGUUGCUGAGAAUUGGGCUUGGUUGGUGGCAGAGUCCCUCUCCGCUCGCGCAGGCGAGCUGGACAGUUAGCAAUCCGAUGUUCAAGGCUUCCACAGCGCAAGCAUUUUCCUUCUUUCUUCCAGCAAUUUGUUUCCGUAUGACUUGGCCCUCCGCAAUAUCCACAGGGACCACGAGCAGCAGAGACCGGUCCUCCCAGUGAGACACCACUGGCCACCCCCGGUUGCCGUACUCCCCCAUUUCCUUUUCCACUCUUAGGGAGUGUGCUCUUAUCUUCCUGUUCCGAGCUGCUUCCAGGAAAGCCCCUUUUCUUGGUUUGGAAGUUUCUAACUUGUAGCCUCGCAUCUUCAACCCGUUGAGCUUUCUCCACAGCGUCACUAAAGGUACCAAGUUGAGCUACAGCCAAAUCCUUUUGAAUCUCAACAUUUAAUCCCUGGAUGAAUCGUCUUAUCCGUCUUUGUUCGGUUAUAAUCAGUUCGGGCGCAAACUUAGACAACCGAGUGAAUUGACUCUCAUACUCGGCUACGGUCUGAGUUCCUUGGCGAAGCCGAAUAAAUUCAUCUUCCUUCUUUUCUUGGAUUAGAGGAGGGAAAAACUUGGCAUUAAAUUCCCUCAUAAAGUUCGCCCACGUCCUCGGGGUUUGUUCCCUUUCCCAUUUCAUUCGAAUGACAUUCCACCAGGAACGGGCGGCUCCCUCUAGUUGAAAGACAGCAAAUGUUACCUGUCUCUCCUCGGUAUAGUGUAAGGCAGCGAAAAUAUCGAUCAUCUUCUCCAGCCAUUUCUCAGCCACGUCAGGAUCAGGGCCUCCAAGAAACUUGGGUGGGGAGAACUUCUGAAAUCUCUCAAGGGCUCUAUCCUCGCCCUCCAUGUGAUUACCAGGAUUCCCAGGGUUAGGGUUAGGGUUUUGACCUUGUUGGUGCACCACUUGGGCUAGCAAAGCAGUCAUUUGCUGCAUAGCAGCAGCUAUUUGGACAUUGGGGUCAACCCUAAGUUCAGGGUUUGGUCCAGAUGAGGUUUCCCCAGUACCCCUUUCAGGUGUAGGUUGCCUAUUUCCACGCCCACGGCCCCGUCCACUACGAGUGCCUUCCAUUGGUCUAAUAAAUCUAGGGUCGAAGCGGGAAUAUAAUAUUAAACAUAGGUAGACAAAAGCAAGUAGCAAAAGGUACGUACAGAUCAAAAGUAUACAUAUAUAACAUAGCUGUACCAAACAAGCCACACAGUAGCAAUCAAUUAGAUACAAAUAUGAAAAAUCCAUGAAAGUAGCGGGGUCAUCCAGAGUACUAUAGACAAACGAGGUCAUAAGUACAACAAUAACUAACGAAAAUAUUUUCCCCUCUAGGGCUCCAUCCCUAAUCUCAAAUCCACGAGAAUGCCCCAAUUUAUAUCUUAAUCCAAGUUAAUCAUGCUUACUAACAUCCGAACAACUACACGAAAUUCCAUAGAAUCACAUUUCGAGUUCGCCCAAAUCUUUUCUAACCUAGGCUCUCCUCUUUUUCGUAUCCGGGCGCAAGAAUCCCAUCUAAGAUAAUUCACAACUCGAGCCGGCCGGUCCCAAGAGUAAAUCAUCCAUAUUAAAGAUUCCUACCCGACAUACAUACCUAGCUUCCUCGAGUCCCAUGAUAAUGAUUCGUACACUUAUCACAUUCCCGGUUCAUAAUUUAUGCUCAAACGAGCACUUAGACAUAUUCAUGAAAUUAGAACCACAACACCACUUGGCCCAGUCUCACUCCGCGCAGAGACCACGCGAAGUGGCUCUGAUACCACUUGUAACAGCCCCACUUUCCCCUAAGGCGAACCAAAGGGGUUAGCGGACUGCCUGCCCAACUCUCGCCAGGACUACGGAUCAGAUUAGAGCUAUCUGCUUCACUCCGGAACUUACAAACUCGCGUAAACACAUCAAAAUGGUAAAAUAAUCCAAAAUAAAAAAAAAUGAAAUCCGGAGCCGGCCAUGAAUAGUAACCGACCCGUCAGAACCCAACCGAAAUAGUUAACAAACAUUUACAUCUGAACUUUAGCGUUUACAAAUCAAAAUGACAUACAAAAGCUUUCAAAAGUUAAUACAUAUACACGGUUUGCCAAAUCAAAAGAGAAAACGCCCCAAAAGUACACUUAGGGUUUUAAUACAUGAGCUAUACAAAAGAUAUGUUUAUCUAGCUCAAUUUGGCAGCCAUUUGUCAAAUCCAAACCAAAAGGGUUUAUUUUCCUGUAAGGAAAACAAAAGGAACGGAAAGGGGUGAGCUUGCGCUCAAUGAGGUACCAAACAAAUAGCAUUAAAAUCAUGGCAUUUCACAUUUAACAAAUCAGAUACACAUGUCAGAUGUAAAGCACAGAAACCAAUGAUUCAAAUCAGAAGGAUACGGGUGGCUCUCAGGAGCCAAAUUUCCAGCGCAGUACUUGAUCCAAACCGGUUGACUCUCCGUCAACGUAUAUAGAACCAAAGGGGUUAGCGGACUGCCUGCCCAACUCUCGCCAGGACUACGGAUCAGAUUAGAGCUAUCUGCUUCACUCCAGAACUUACAAACUCGCGUAAACACAUCAAAAUGGUAAAAUAACCCAAAAUAAAAAAAAAUGAAAUCCGGAGCCGGCCAUGAAUAGUAACCGACCCGUCAGAACCCAACCGAAAUAGUUAACAAACAUUUACAUCUGAACUUUAGCGUUUACAAAUCAAAAUGACAUACAAAAGCUUUCAAAAGUUAAUACAUAUACACGGUUUGCCAAAUCAAAAGAGAAAACGCCCCAAAAGUACACUUAGGGUUUUAAUACAUGAGCUAUACAAAAGAUAUGUUCAUCUAGCUCAAUUUGGCAGCCAUUUGUCAAAUCCAGACCAAAAGGGUUUAUUUUCCUGUAAGGAAAACAAAAGGAACGGAAAGGGGUGAGCUUGCGCUCAAUGAGGUACCAAACAAAUAGCAUUAAAAUCAUGGCAUUUCACAUUUAACAAAUCAGAUACACAUGUCAGACGUAAAGCACAGAAACCAAUGAUUCAAAUCAGAAGGAUACGGGUGGCUCUCAGGAGCCAAAUUUCCAGCGCAGCACUUGAUCCAAACCGGUUGACUCUCCGUCAACGUAUAUAGAACCAAAGGGGUUAGCGGACUGCCUGCCCAGCUCUCGCCAGGACUACGGAUCAGAUUAGAGCUAUCUGCUUCACUCCAGAACUUACAAACUCGCGUAAACACAUCAAAAUGGUAAAAUAACCCAAAAUAAAAAAAAAAUGAAAUCCGGAGCCGGCCAUGAAUAGUAACCGACCCGUCAGAACCCAACCGAAAUAGUUAACAAACAUUUACAUCUGAACUUUAGCGUUUACAAAUCAAAAUGACAUACAAAAGCUUUCAAAAGUUAAUACAUAUACACGGUUUGCCAAAUCAAAAGAGAAAACGCCCCAAAAGUACACUUAGGGUUUUAAUACAUGAGCUAUACAAAAGAUAUGUUCAUCUAGCUCAAUUUGGCAGCCAUUUGUCAAAUCCAGACCAAAAGGGUUUAUUUCCUGUAAGGAAAACAAAAGGAACGGGAAGGGGUGAGCUUGCGCUCAAUGACGGUACCAAACAAAUAGCAUUAAAAUCAUGGCAUUUCACAUUUAACAAAUCAGAUACACAUGUCAGAUGUAAAGCACAGAAACCAAUGAUUCAAAUCAGAAGGAUACGGGUGGCUCUCAGGAGCAAAUUUCCAGCGCAGUACUUGAUCCAAACCGGUUGACUCCUCCGGUCAACGUAUAUAGAACCAAGACGUCCGUAGACCCCUCUUUACACCGAAUUCCGUCCACCCAAACACCCUUUACCGGCCGCUCAACCGUAACCGAACAGAAAUGGUAAUACUCGAGUAUACCGGAAUCAAGGCGUUCUCAAUACCCAAAAAUCCCCCGAACAGACUACCGUGGUUCGUUAUCUAAUCGUCCAGGCCCUUGCCGGCCCGACUCGAAUAACUUAGCCACAGGAUUGAGCUCAUAGGUCAUAGAAAUCCGAACAGAUGCAGACACAGAUAACAGAUUCAGAUACAGAUACAGAAUAGCAGAUUCAAUAUCAGCAGAUUCAGACGGCAGAUUCAGAUAGGCACUCAAAUUUGGCAUCAUGAACAGAUAGAAGAACGAGUGUGAUAAAGUACACCUCCGCCUCCAUUUUAUCAAAACAGUAUUUGGCUUCAAUAAUCAUAAAUCAAGUAUUCAGAUAUUCAGAUAUUUCACAUAAUGGGUAGCAGGUAGUGGAACACUCACCGCUCAACUUCAAAAAGUUUUCACUUCAGAUUGGCCUUAAUCGCCAAGAAACCCUAAAAUAAUCAAAAUAAAACCAAUUGAAGGUUUACUUCCAGAAUCGGGAGUAAACAGAAUGCAUAUGUGAGGCUCGACUACACGUCGUACGCCUUGCCAAAUAAAUACUAGUGCAAGAAUGCAAAAAACAUGAUUCCCUUGGAAACGAAAAGGUAGCAUGAAGACCUAGGCGCAAACAACCCAAAAGCCUUUCAUUCUACCAAAAGGCAAAUCCAACUUAAAGGAACCAACGGCCUAGAAAAUCGGGCAGCACUUCCCCUAAAUUUCUUACUUUUCCAGCCAUUAAGGCUUCAUUAUAUCCUCAAUCAGUCCCAACAUCUCACACAAAAUUCAUCUCAUUUCCCAAAAGCGUUCGCUAGUCUCAAAGUGGUACAAGUACAAAAGUUAGCUACGAAACAACCGAAAUGAAAGCAAGCCUAAAAGAGACUCGAUAACGAGUCAUAUAGCCAUACCAAUUAUAACCCUAAUAGGUUUCAUAUGCAUAAAUAAGCAUCAUAGGUAACCAGAAAUUAAGAAAUGGCUUUAACUUAGGCCUUAACAAAAAAAACGUAUUUGACCUCAUAAUGCGGUAAUGACACCAUUUUCACUACGGUUAUCGGAUGGGGGUGCAAGACCCACCGUUUUCGAAGCUAUGAAACAGGGCUACAACAAUGUAGAAGGCCACUCAGUCCAAAUCCUAGCACAACUAGGUCGAAAAUGCAGAAACCACAACCUGAACCGUAAUUGCAGGUUUACAAAUCACACAAAACUGUAAUCCGUACAACUCGGUCUAUACAGGUCCAAAUGCAUUGAUUCCAAAGGCAUAUGGUAACUAAGACAUUCAGCUACAUUUCAUCAGAAGACACCAACAACAAAAUCCAAACCAAUUCCAGUCAAAAUGGCCAAUUACUAGUGCAGUUUUCGCAUUCUGAUCAACCCAGAACAGCAACAGUAAAAAACACCAUAUCUCACUCUACACUACUCCAAAUGACCUGAAAUUUUACAGGAACCUCAAACACAUCAAUACCUACAACUUUCAUGAAUUCGGCCUCUAUCUAGGAGUAAAAAAAACGGGCAGAAUGUUCCAACCAAAAACCCUAACUUGCUGAAAUUCUUCCAAACCAGAAAUUGAUUGCAAUUGUUCACUUUUCCCACCUCCUUAAGUCAUUAUAUACCAUUUCUAAUCAUCCUAGAUAGCCACACAAUCAUGCUUAUAUUAAAACAGAAAAAUCCCCGAAAAUAACAAAACUUCAUCAUUUCAACCACAAAUUAAGAAUUAAUCCACAAAAUUGCCUCUUAUGCCACUACUAAACAUAAAUUAAACAUCAUUAGAGGGAGGAAAGGGGUUCAUCAUGACUUACCUUAGAAACAAGAGAGAGAGAGCUAUUGAUCACCUUAACUUUCCAAAAGAAACUCCACCAAACAACUCACAAACACUAAGUGAAGAGGUUUUAUGGAGUAAUUGCAAGAUCAAAUGGUUGGAUGGUUCACCUUGAGCAAGAUUGGAGCUAAAACUUGAAGAGUUUCUUGCUUCCUUUUGGAGAGAGAGGGCCGGCCAUAUGAGGAGAGAAAAUGGUGAUUUUUGUGCAAUUUUUAAGAUAUUUAACCUUUGGUCAAAAAAAGUCAAAAAUUGGAAUAGUAAAUCUUAAAGUAAAACCAAUAAGAGGGUGACACUUGUCACCCCAUUAAUGCAAUCUUAUCACUUCUUUUUCCUCUCACAUCAAUCAAAUCUCACUCUCUACUUAUCUCUUAACACCCGAUAAAUUUUACACAGGAUCCGAAACUUAACCUUAUUGGCCGAAUUUUUCCGAACUUUUCGCACUAGUGGGUCCCACGUCCAUAAUCUCUCCGUAAUUUUUCAAAAACUACCCAAUGCUAGGAAAAUCAUCUAAAAACUAUAAUUACUCAUAAAAAAUCCUCAGGAAAAUUUCCUAAGCCAGGAAAUGCAGAAAACAUGCUAUUAAAGGAAAUAAAACCCUAGGAAAAUUAUUAAGGGAUUUACGGGUUCUCACAUUUGGAGCAAGAUGGAAUCAAGAAAUUGAAGAGGUUUUCUUUCUUUCCUUGCCUUUCGGGCACUAGAGCUUGAAAAAUGGAGUAAUUUUGGUAAAGUUUUAGUUUAUUAAGUCAAAUGAUAAGACAUGGAAUAGUAGUCAUACAAGUCCAUCCAAUAGGCAAGUGACACUUGUCACUUUAUUUAAUGCAAGUCUAUCACUUUGUUUCCUCUCACACCAAUCCAAAUUGCAACCACUACUUAUUUCUUAACACCCGAUAAAUUAAUUCCAGUAUCCAAAACUUAACCUAGUUGGCCGAAUUUUUCCGAACUUUUCGCACUAGUGGGUCCCCACGUCCGGUAUACGCUUUUAAUUUCUCAAAAACUAUCCGAUACUAGAAAAAUCAUCCAAAAACUAUAUUUACUCAUAAAAAUUAUUUUCCCAAUUUCUCAAAUCAAUAAAAUGUGGAAAAACGUGCAAUUAUAAGAAAAAAUAAAUCCGAAUACUUUAAAACAAAAUUACAGGCUCUCACAAAAAUCAAAUCUUACAUCUUACUAUAAUAGAAAUUUGGGCUGCAUGCCCUUUGUUUUUAGCUAUUUUUCAGCCAUUUAUGGCUUCAUUAUUUUCCUCAACUCAGCCCAAAUUCACACAUAAACAACCUUAACACAAUAGCCCUUCACUAGGCUCAAUGUCAUCCCAAUACAAGGCAAUUCUAGUAAUGCAACUAUAAAAAUCAAAGCUGGAAACUAGUAGUAAAGAAGAAUAACUAAGUAACAAGUUUGACGUCUAUCGGCGUUUUGGUCACAGCUAUGCUUAUCGAAUUAGGGUACACUUUAUGGCAUUUUGAAGCCAAGAUAGAGAACUACAUUUCCUAUCAAGACAUCAACACCCAAUUCAUGCAUUUUCAAAGUCAAAAUGUGAAAUCUCAGAGAAAACAGAAAACUGCCCGCGAAAUAGGGCAUUUGGCAGUCAGGGGUAAUUUAGUCAUUUCACAAGAUACAGUGAUCAGUUUGAGCUGAAAAUUCCCUAUAACUUUCAUGUUUUGAGCAAGGACUGAUUCGGUCUUUAUCAUGAUUCGAAUAUGCAGGUCAGUGUGGUUCUUAAAACAGGGCAAAAUUAGUUCUAAGUGCUAGAAAUUUAAACCCUACGCUAGAAAUUUAGAACUAAAUCUGGAAAAUCCUUAUUUGGAAGCUAAAAGUCAUAUUAAACUAUAAAUCUUCAUAUCAUCUCUCUCAAGUCUAUACCAAAACUAGAUAUAAGCAUCUCAUGGCUGAAAAAUAUGAAUCAAAGUUAGAAAAGUUCCACCAACUUCACAACCCGUGCAAUCAUUCAUAAAACUUCCAUAUUCAAGUAAUAUAUCAACUUAAAUGCAAGAUUAAAAGGAAAAAGUAGUUCCUUGCCAAGAAUACCUUAAACUCCUAAGAAGAGUAUCAAAUCACAACUUUCUUCUCCAAAAUCACACCAUACCAAGCUCCUUCCUUCCUUAUUGCAACCUUCUAUGGAUGGAUUUAGGGUUUGAAGUUGAUUUUCCCACAAAAUCUUGCUAGAAAUCAAGAUGAAACUUGAAGGAAUUUUUCUCUCUUCCUCUCCUCUCUCUCUCGGCCAAGGUUGCAAGAAAAUGAAAUGGUUUUGGUUCAAUGUUUACAAGAUGAAGACUAAGAAAGGCUUGGUCAAAGGGUCUUGGUCAAGACCUUGGAUGGAUUUUUGACAAAUGGCACAAUCACAAAUAUUUCAACCAAAAUAUCUUUCUUUUCCUUAGUCAAUAAUGGUGGAUGAAUUAAGGGUUGAUUAAGGGCUAAUUAGCUCAAUUAAAAACAAGGAGAUUAAGGUAAUAAAGUAGUAUUCAAGUAGUGUAUUCAAUCGGUAGCAAACGGCGCACGUCGGUUCAAGCCUAUUUUCCUUAACUCGCACGUACUUGUGUUUUUGCUUAUGGUUCACUAGUUUAUUAUUAUCACUUCUAAUCACACUUUUUCUUAUCUAAACUCACUCUUAACCACCAAAUUUAGUACACACACCUCAUCAAGUGAUCACACGGCCAAAACACGCGAAAAUCCUGAUUUACGCUAACUAUAAUACUAAUACUAAAAGUACAACCCUUGAUUCUAUGAUUUAUUUGCAACUAUUGAGGGAGUAAAUGAGUAGUAAAGAUAUUAUAAAGUAAUUUAAUCAAAAUAAAAGAAAAUGUUAAGAAAAUGAGAAGAAUUUUGCGAGUCCUCACAGAGACCGUAGAUUUGUAUCCCGUUUUUGGCAGAAGUUGCAAGAGGCGCUAGGAACUAAGUUAAGCUAUAGUACAGCCUAUAAUCCUCAAACUGACGAACAGUCAAAAAGAACCAUUCAAACUCUUGAGGAUAUGUUAAGAGCCUGUAUUGUAGAUUUUGGUGGGAGUUGAAGCCAAUAUCUAACCCUGGUUGAGUUCGCGUAUAACAAUAGUUAUCACUCUUCUAUUCAAAUGGCCCUAUAUGAAACACUUUAUGGAUGAAGAUGUCGAUCUCCGAUUCAUUGGGAUGAAAUAGGAGAGAGAAAAAUUAUGGAUCCGGCAACAAUACCAUGGGUUGAGAAAGCUUACAAAAGGGUAAAAGUGAUAUGUCAAAGGCCUCAAACGGCCCAAAGUCGACAAAAGAGUUAUGUUGACCAUCGAAGAAAGGAUUUAGAGUUUGAAGUAGGGGACAAGGUAUUUCUUAAGGUUACUCCACUGAAAAGAAAAAUCAAGGCAGGAAAGGGGAAGAAAUUGCAACCAAGAUACAUAGGACCUUUUAGCAUACUCCAGUGGAUAGGAAAGGUGGCUUAUCGACUAGAGUUACCAGCUAGUUUAUCUCGGAUCCAUAAUGUUUUUCAUGUUUCUUUGCUUAAAAAAUAUCACCCAGAUCCGACUUACAUUUUGCCACUAGAAGAUAUUGAACUGGAAGAGUCUUUAGCCUAUGAGGAACGACCCAUUCGAGUACUGGAUAGGAAGAUAAAGGACUUGAGAAGUAAGUAGAUUCCACUAGUUACGGUUCUAUGGAAACACCAUAAGGUGGAGGAGGCAACCUGGGAGCUGGAGAAAGACAUGCAAGAGAUGUACCCUGAGCUAUUUGCGAAUAAAGGUAUGAAUUUCGAGAUCGAAAUUCUUUUAAGGGGGAGAGAGUGUGAGGUGUGAGGCCCCAGUCCGAUCGUAAGUCGAUAUUAGGGUUAGUUGAUAUUCGGUAUGGAAAAAAAUAGGGUUUUAUGGCUAGGAAGGAAACCCUAAUUCGGUUAAGUUUGGAAAUCCUAGUUUACGUAUUAUUAUUAUAAGGUUCAAGCUAUAGUUUAUAUUCGGUAUUCUAGUGUGUGCCUUGCCAUAGGUAAAUAUAGGAUUUGUUUUAAUUACAAAGGUUUAGUAAGUUUGAAGGAUUAGCAAACCUCUAGUGUUGCAAUAUUAGAAAACUUAAGUAGAAUUUUAUUUAUCGCCCGUCUUUUCCACAUUUUCUUUAUUAGAAAAUUCCCCAGAUAAUUUUUAUUGAGUAAAUAGAGUUUUUAGAUGAUUUUUCUAGUAUUAGUUAGUUUUUGAGAAAUAAGAACGUAUAUUGGACGUGGGACCCACUAGUGCGAAAAGUUCGGAAAAAUUCGGCCAAUUAGGUUAAAUUCCGGAUACUGUGUAAAAUUUAUCGGGUGUUAAGAGAUAAGUAGAGAGUGAGAUUUGAUUGAAGUGAGAGAGAAAAGAAAGGAUAGGAAUGCAUUUAUGGUGGUGACAAGUGUCACUAUCUCAUUGGUUUUACUUUAAGAUUUACUAUUCACCUUUUGACAUUUUUUUUUGACUUUUGACCCAAUUAAGUAAAUAUCCUACAAAUUCACCAAAAUUCACCAUUUUUCCUCUCCUUGUGGCCGGCUCUCUUCCUUGCAAAGAAGAAAGAAAUUCUUCAACUUUCUAGCUUCCAUUUCACUCAAUCUUCCACAACUAAUCACCUAGAUUAGAUUCUACUCCAUAAAAACCUUUCUUCUAGUGCUAGUAAGUAGUUUGGUGAAGUUUGUUUGAAGAGCUAAGGUGUCCAACAUCUCUCUCUUUCUUGAUUUCUUGGUAAGUGAUACUUGAACACUCUACUACACCUAAUGAUGUUUAUGUUAUGCUUAGAAGUAGCUUGAGUGAUGGAAUAUGUGAUUUAUUUCUUGAUUUGAAGAGUUUUGGUGAAGUUUUCCAUUUUAUGAUGAAUUUUCUGGUUUAAUAUGAAUGGGAUGUUGUGGCCUUGUAUGAUGAAUGGUAAUGGUUUCAAAUGACUCUAGUAGGUGUGAAUUGUUGAUAAAUGCAAUCAAUUUUGGAUUUGGAUGGAAAAAUGGAAAGUUAGGGUUCAUAAUCCCCUAAUUCUGUCCGGUUUUAGAUCAUAGGGUUAGAGGCCGAAUUGGACUUUGCUCAAAACAUGAAAGUUGUAGGUAUUGAUGUGUUUGAGGUGCCUGUAAAAUUUCAGGUCAUUUGGAUUAGUGUAGAGUGAGUUAUGUCGGCAUUACUGUAGCUGUUCUGCUUUGGUCAGAAUGCGAAAACUGCGUUGGUAUUUGGCUAUUUUGGCUGGAAUCACUUUGGAUUUGGAUGUUGGUGUCUUCUGAUGAAAUGUAGCUGGAGGUCUUAGCUAUCAUAUGCCUUUGGAAUUUCGGCAUUUGGACUUGUAUAGACUGAGUUAUACCGAUUACAGUUUUGUGUGUUUUGCAAACCUGUUUUGGUAAUUCUGGUUUAGUAUUUUGCAUAUUUGACCUAGUUGUGUUAGGAUUUGGACCGAGUGACCUUCUACAGUGUUGUAGCCCCUUAAGUCUUGGAUAUCCCUGUAAAUUUUCAGGUUAAACGGAUUAGUAUAUCCUGAGCUAUAAACGAAAUACUCAGACCUGUUUUGACCAGCAAAUUCUGUUACGUUUUUGGAAAGUUUACGACUGGAACUUUGGCUUCACAUUUGACUGGGUUACAAGCUGUUUGGGCUUGUGACCAAAACACCAAACUUAUAGCCUUAUAUCAGAGCUUUCCAACGCCCUUAGAAUUUCAUAAAUCGGAUUUAUAAAACCUGAGAUAUAGCCGAGCAAACAAGGCCUGCCCGUGAAAAUGACCAUUUUCUGGUCAGAUCUGUUUUGGUCCUGAUGACCAAUUUCCGUUCCGAAUUUGGAUUUCCGACCUUCAUGAAAGUUGUUCCAUUUGGAAUGAACUAUCUAACUGCCAAUUUUCAGCUCUUUUGACCAUGUGUAGCAUAGAAAACAGUUCGCACUCAAAACUGACCAUUUGUGCAUUGGCCAGAUUUCGUAAGUGAUUGUGUUUGGCUCAUUUGGGACUGAAGCCUCCAGUUUCAGUUCUGGAUGUCUUCAUAACAUUUGUUGUUCAUCCUUUAAGCUUCGAUAUGGCAUCUCAUACGCCUUAAUCCGAUAUUCGUAGCUCAACUUAUGAGUAAACUAGAAAUGAGUGUCAAAUCUGCCGUUUCCGCUAACGGCCGUUUCCGUUUCCGUCCGUCUUAUUUACGUGCGCGCGUGUCGUUUUUGCCGUUUUGCUUGUUUUAGGCACGAUAGUAGCCGUUUGCGAUAUUAUGUGACACAAUCUUCUAUUUCAGACGGUGGUGAGUUGGGCGGAACUGGUGGGGCCCACUACUAGCUGUUCAUUUCGAUCCGAUUUCGUACUUUUGCUAUUUCAGUUUCUGAGUAAGUAUUCAGGCCAGUUUGAUGUGUUUUCUUGGCUAUGUGUUUGAGAUAUGUGAAAAGGGUACUUAGGCGAGGGUGUACUUUAUCGCACUCGACCUAAACCCUAAUUUGAAUGUAUAAUUGUACUUGGCAUAUGUAUAUGAACCUUUUGGAACCAAAACCCUUGAGCUUGUGGCUCGGGGCGACUUUCGAGUAAAGUUUGUGAAUUUUGUAAAGUUUGUGAGUUCGUGGGCCCGAUCUAAGACCUGUUUGGACUAUUCGAGCCGGUUAGGGCUUGGUCGAAAUCAGUCCAACUUAGUCUGAGGUCACCAAGUUUGUAGGUUCAUGUUGUGAACCAAUUUUGUGAAUCCGGUUCACCGAGAAGGUGACCAAGUUUGUGACCCGAGCUUGUGACUCAAGCUCAAGUUUGUGAUUUCGUUCGCCCGGGCAAGUUUGUGAGGUGACUGGCCAGUGAGGGUGAAAAGGUGUCGGUGGGUGUACAAGUGAAGUUCUACGGACCAUUAAGUGUGGUCGACGGAGUGUCGGCAGGAGUUCACGCAUGGCAUAUGAAUUGGCUUUGGAGCCACCUGUAUCCUUAUUAUGUGAUGUUACUUUUCUGCUUUUGCUUUACUCUUACUGUGUAACUGUUAUUACGUGAAAUUUACGCUUUCGCCCCUGUUUACUUACUAAGCAUAUAGCUUACCCCAUUCCUUUUGUUUUCCUUAGCAGGGGCCGACGUGGGGACUUUUGGCACACACAGUAGUAUAGUUAGGUUUUAUUGUAAUAGUUGGACUUAUAGUAUGUUUGUUUUUGUUUUAGUUUUGGUGGUUUGUAUAAGGACCCUCCUUAGGGUCUACAUUUUGGUUUUGGUGGUAAUUAUAAGGAUGUAAUAGUGUGAGCAGGUACUUUUGAGAAUGUAAUUAUAACUCUUUUGGGUUUGUAUAUAGAACUCUUUUGAAGUUUCUGGCUUUUAUUAUUUUAGGUUUUGAGUCCUGGCGCGAGCUAGGCAGGCGGCCCACCGAUACCCUUGGGUUCGCCCUUGGGAGAAAUGGGGUCGUCACAUGAGAACUUGCAAAAUUCUUCAUAUUUCCUUAAAAAUUCCCUUUUAUUUUGAAUCAAUUACUUUAUCAUAGCUUUACUACUCAUUUACUCCCUCAAUAGUUGGAAUAAAGAAUAGAAUUAAGAGUUUUUCCUUUACUUUUAUAGUUAGGAUAAACUAAGGUUUUUGUGUAUUUUAGUGGUAUGAUUAAUCGGUAAGGAGUGUGUACUAAAUUUGGUGGUUAAGAGUGAGUUUUAUAUAAGAGAAAGUAUGUAUUUAUAAGUGCUAAUAAUAAGUUAGUGAAUCAUAAGUUAAAAUACUAGUACGCGCGAAUUAGGAAAAAACGGCUUGAACCGACGCGCACCGUUUGCUACUGAUUGAGUGCACCAAUUGAACACUGCUUUAUUACCUUAAUUUAUUUGUUCUUACUUGAGCAAAAUCAGCCCUAAAUAUCUCCUUAUACCAGCCAAAAUUUUGGACUAAAAAACAAGAGAGAAAAGAAAAAAUUUGACCUCAAAUCAAAGUGUGACAGUUGUCGGAAAUUUAGUAUACUUGGAAUAAACAAAUUUCCUUCCUUCUUAUCACUAAAUUGGUUUCAUUUCUCCUUCAUUUCUUUCUUGUUGGCCGAGAGUGAGAGGAGAAAAAAGAAAGAGGAAAGUUAGCAACUCCAACCUUGAAUCCAUCUUUGUUUGAGUAAAAUCAACCAAACCAAACCGAUUAAACUUGUCUUUUGGUGUUUGGAAAACUUUGUGUGGUGAAAUUUUUGGAAGAGAGUGGUUUGCUUUUCACUUUCAAGAAGCUUUUGGAAGGUAUAAAUAUUGAACUUCCUUUUCUCUUGCUUCAUCUUGUUAAUUUGGUAUAGAAGCUUCUACUCUUGGAUUGCUACGGUUAAUUAUUUAGUUUUUUACGGUGUAGUGGAAAGUUUAGCUAGGGUUUGCAUCUUUUCAAUUUUGAUUAGUGUUGUUUAACUAGUAAAUGAUGCUAUUAAGGUUGGAAAUGGAACUUGUGAAGUGAUUUUGGGCUUGAGUGUAGCUUUGUUAGAGUAAAAGCUGAAUUCCAGCAUUUGGUUGUGAUUCUGCCCUGUUUUUGGAACCAAUCUGACCUGCAUGUUCGUCCAUGAUAAAGGCCAAAUCAGUUCUUGCUCAAAACAUGAAUGUUGUAGGGAAUUGAGUUAGCUUUCUACCCAGAAAACUUCAGCUCAAUCAGAACGCUGUAUCUUGUGAAAUGACUAAAAUACUCCUAACUGCCCAAAUGCCUUAUUUAACCAACAGCUUUUUGUUUUCUCUGAGAUGUCAAAUUUUGACCCUGAAAAUGCGAGAACUAGAAGUCGAUGUCUUCAUAGGAAAUGUAGUUCUAUGUCUUAGCUUCAAAAAACCAUAAAAUUUACCUUGAUUCGAUAGACCUAGCUUCAGUUAUGACCAAAAUACCAAAGGAUGACAAAUCUGCCACUUAGACAUUCUUCUUUAAUACUAGUUUCUAGCUUUGGUCUUGAUGACUGUAUUGCUAGAAUUGACUUGUAUUUGGAUGAUAUUGAGCCUAAUUGAAUAGCUAUUUUGUUAAGCUUGCUUAUGUGUUAAAUUUGGGCUGAGUUGAGGAAAAUAAUAAAGCCAUAAAUGGCUGGUAAAUAGCGAAAUACAAAGGGCAUGCCGCCCAAAUUUUCGCUCAAGGGUUAGACGCGUGAACUUGAGACUUAAGUGACAAUUUGAAGUCGAAGUGAAUUUGGAUUGUCUAUGGUAGUCAAGUUACUAUUAGUAAAGCUAUAUGAGCUAAAUUUGGCCAAAACUCGCACCCCUUAAAAGGUGAAGGUAGCGACCAAUAGAAAUACGUUUUCCUCGUCUUCUAGACUCAAAUGCGAAUUCCAAAGUUUUAAUUGCUUCUUUAGCAACACCAAAAGAGCGGCAUGAAUUUUCUAGAGUUUGAUAAGUAACAUGAAUACUACCUAAAUGAGUUUCAGUUACUUGAUUUUCUUUAAGCGAAACUCUUAAGUUUCAAACCCUAGUUGAUUUCAAAUUCUUAAAUGAUGUUUUAUCACACAUUUGGAUUCCAAACAAGGAGUUGUACCUGAAUGUGAUCCUAAGAAGCACUAAGUUUUUGGUGAGUACUUCCAAAUACCUGAUUGAACUUGACACUUGUUUUAAAUGCUUGAUCAACGUGGUCAGAUGAUAUUUGAUUAGUUUGGUCGGGUAAGGGUGUACUUUAUCGCACUUGCCCUAAUGUGAUAUAUUCUUGUUCAUUGGUUACAAUUGACUUGAUAUACAUGCAUAUGAUUCAUAUCUUGUCUGGAAUUCCAAAAACCCUGUGGCUAUUAAUCGAGUCGAGCCAGCAGCAAGAGCCUGGUCGAUUAGAUAACGAACCCUGGUAUCUAGUAUUGUCGAGUGGAGUGAUAUCUCCUUGACUAAUCGGUUAUCUGAACGUUCGGGCCCGGUAAGGGGGUUGAAUGGUUGAUGGAGAUUGGUGUUAAGUAGGGCACUACUGGACUAAUUAUGUGAGGACCUGAAAAUUUUCUUAUUUUUAUCAAAUGUUAUUGGUUUAUUUAAAUAUUUAUUCACCGUUUUAUCUGAAUAAUUUAUUUCAACCAUUUUAAACCCAUUCAUAUGGAGCAAUGUCUUCCUUAUGUUUUUAAAACGUCCCGUUAGUAAAUUUAAUUUUUCGGAGGUUCAUUUAAGUGAGGAAUAAUGAGUACAUGUGUUUCGAGGCGAUAUUCUAUCCGAGAGUGCAAUUAUCUUGGAGAAUUAAGAAUGAUCAAUAGUAGAUUAAGAAAAGUUAAUUGAGAAAUUAGAGGUCAAUGAGUUCUGAUUAAACUUAUACCGUGUUCGCACCGAAAGUUUUCGAAUAUCACACCGCCGACAAAUUGGAGGCUUGAGAAAUCAAUAUGUGUGAGUACUCAUGGUUUUAUCUCUGAAAUAGUUAUUUUUAUGAUUAAUUACUCAAGUAUUAGUUAGUUAUACUAUCAUUACAAGAAUUUCUUAGAAAUUUCGCUUUAUCGCGCACAAGUCGGAAGUUCGCGUUUUCGCGCGUGCGUGACUAAUUGGGACUUUGGACAUUCAUUUUUAGACUAUUAAGAGUGACUAAUAAUAGUGAUAAAGAAAGUGUAUUGGAGGUUUAGUGCAUAAGUUAAACAAACCCGAGAGAAAACAGGCACGAAACACGCGCAUACGCGCACUAGUAAGAGUUGACUUUUGUGCCCAAAAAGGCCACCAACCACCAAGCUUCCUCAAGAAGCCACGCAACACUCUCCACUCUCUCUUCUCUCUCUCUUGCUGGUCAGCCAACCCAAGGAAGAAGAAGAAGGAAACUUCAUCUCAUUUCACUCCAUUUCUUCCAUCAAAUUCACUCCAAAUUCACUACACAAACCCACAACAACUUGAAGCUUCACUUGGGCUAGGAAAAGUGCAUUACUUCCAUGGUUUCUUGGAGUUUCUUAGUGACCGAAAUUUCUGAGUUUCAACACCCAAGAGGUAGUGCAUGAUCUAACCUUCUAAACUUGAUUUUUAUGAGUUAGAUUGGACCUGGAAGCUUGUAGCUUAAUGUGGGUAACUUUGGUUGGUUGAAAAUCACUUGAGUGGACUCUAUGAAAUCCCAAAAUGGAUUUGUUGGACUGAUAUGAUGAUUUUGGAUGUUAUUUAUGUUGAUUAAGUGUUAAACUAGUGAUUAUAAGUUGAAAAAGUGGAAAGAAACUCAAAGGAAACCAAAAGGAAAAAGGGGCGGAUUCUGCCCUGCUUGUGCAGAGGCCUUGGUUCAAUUUUUUGUGGUUAAAUUGCCUUGAUUUUGAUGUAUAUAUAUUGUAUAGUUGCAUGGAAAUUUUCCACCAAAAAUCACUUAAUUUGGUUGGGUAAAAGUUGCAUUUUCGAAACAUGUUCAAACCUGGAAAACUUGUACAGAGGUACUCUAGCAGUGAACUUUAAACGAUCAUAACUCUUUGCUCCGACUUCGAAAUCAAGUUCCGUUUGUAGUAUUUGAAACUAGAAACUUUCAGUUUUCUAAUGGUAUAAAAUUCAUCCCCUGAUUCGACUUGAGUGAGCCGUAUCAAUUCUUCAAAAUUACCUGUCCUGUUUUGUUACUCUACUAGAGAGUCAAUGAGGUGCUGGGACUUGUUGCUUGAAUUCGAGCUAGCUAUGAUCUAAAUUUCAAAACAAUUUCUUCUGAUGAUUUGUAAACUUAUGAAUGUAUUUUCCAAAUCCACCAACCAUGAUCAAUUCCAAGUUGAAUUGACUGAGUUAUGGUCAAAUUACAGAAUUGUGUCAGUUAUUGAAAACCCUAAUUUUGGCUAGCGAAUGGCUUACCUCGAAUUGGGACUUGUUAUUUUGACACUUUUGGUGUUAAUCACCUAUCAAAUGUAUGUUGGAGGUUUCUUAGACUUUUCUUCAUAAAUUAACCAUGUUUGAGUUGAUUUCAUUGGCCAAAGGUUCGAAAUAAGGGAAACGGAAGCAUAAGGCAGAAUUGCCAUGGAAAUUCCUAGAACUUUAGUGGUCUUGUUAAUAGACUUUCCGUAUGAAUUUUUACAUGAAAUUUGAUAGAGAAGUAGCCCUUAUAUGGUAGUGUAAUCAUACUAAAUUAGGUGCCAUUCCAAGUCUAUUUCGAUGCCCAACUGAAGUCCCAAAGUUCAAGUUUCAAAUCUGGAAAAUUGCCCAAUGGUCUUCAUUUUGAACCAACUUUGAGCCGCUAUAUCUUGGCGCUCAAAACUCCAAUUCAUGUUCUGUGCACUGCAUUUUAAACUUUGAUUGUAACUCUAAUUGAGUUUCAAAUUUGAGAGGCUAGUUCGCAUUCUGUGAAUUUUGCCAAAUUUCCAAAAUUUGCCAAAGACCAACCCUGAAUCUGUCUUGGGAGUCCAAAUCAGAAACUUUAAGCCGAAAUUUGAGUAUCUUCCUUUUUGAAUCAUGGAAAAGUGUCUUCUAGGAACUUUUAGUACUUUGGAAGUAGUUUCCAACGGUACCAGGUUUCCAAUUUUGGACCUACAGAGAGUGAGAUAUGAUUUUUCAAAGAUCGCACCUCAAAUCUGAAAUUUCUAAACUUAAAGGAAAUUGAGUUUUUAGAACUCUCCAUUUUCCUUCAAUAUUGGGUGAUCGUUUUACAUUUGAUUUCAAAGAUGAAAAUCAGAUUUUUCUUUUAUUAUUAAACCCCACUUUUGAGCCUCGAUUUAUGAGAAAUUAAGGCUCAUUCUCAUGAUAUUCUCUAAGAUUGUACAAGUGUGCAAUCUUCCUUGAUAAUUGGUGUUUUAAGUGAUAGUGAGUGAUAGUUAAUUAUUGUUUGCACAGGCACUCGAGGAGACCUUCAAGAGGACCUCACAACGGACGCUUAAGUACAUGAAUUGUGCAACACACUCUCCUUUUUACUAGGUGAGUGUCAAGUGUAUGUGAAUUGUUACGUGCUUAAUUGUUAUUAGUGAUUGGAAAUUUUGAAAAAUUGAGUCGAAUGUGUACUUUACUGCACUCGUUCUCAUUUGAAUGAAAUGAAUGAAUCAUAAUUGAAUUGAUUGAAAUGAAAUGAAUGGACCAAAAUAUAUUGAAUGGAUUGAAUGAAAUGAAAUGAUAUGCUAUGACUGCAUACGUCGUUGGUGUGAAUGUCCUCGACUCAUAAAUGUUAAAUGGGGGACGCCCAAACUCAUAGGCCGACCCUGGGACUAGAGUCGGCAUAGGCUUGGUCGAGAACCUUGGUGAGCCAUGAGAAUAACAUGAUAAGCUUGAUCUAUUGGAGAGAUCUCGCUUGGCAUACUCGUAUAGUAUCGCCUUAUAAACGAAGUUCAGGCCCGGUGCGGUGUAUGGUGGACGGAAAUGAGAAGUAAAUGGAGUACUACGGAUUUGAAAUACUGACCCGGUUGAUGGAGCGUCAUCACAGGAAGGUAUACGAUUGAGGUUUGGCACAGCAAGUGGGACUUAGCUCCUGAGAGCUCUUAUAUCCUUGAAUUGUUUCUGUUUACUUUUCUCGCCCGAAUUGUUAUUUACUUAAAUAUUAUGGUUUUACUUGUUAAAUGGGAUUGUUGCUUGGACAACAUGCUUGCAUGUGUGUUCUUGGCCUCACGAGCAAUUGCUCCUCCGGUAGAUUUGUUUUCCUUAACAGGAACGGACACGGAGUGAAACUCGGAGAAACCUUUGGGAUGAACUUUUGUACUAGGGUUUCGAAUGUAACCGACUAGACGUCUUUUGGGAGUUCUAUAUUUUGGAAAAGUUGAUGUAUUUUGAAUUUGUGGUUUAAGCUCGGAUAUUAUUUAUGGAAGCAACUUCACUUUCUUACUUUGUCUUGUCAUAUUAGCUAUUACUGUAUUAAGGUUGAACGGGAAUUGUAUCGAGUCCUGGCGAGAGUUGGGCAGGCGUCCCGCGGAUACCCUUUGGUUUGCCUUAGCGAGAAGUGGGGGGCAUCCCAGAUUACUUUACUUGAAAGUUGACGAGGUGUCAACUACUCUUUGAUCAAGCUAUGGCGGAGCUAUUUUGCAAUAGCGGUUGUAUCCUUUUACUUGACACGUUCAAUAUCCAGUGAUUGGCAUUACGAAGUGUUAUUACUCAUUUUCUUGACUUGAUAUACUCGCUACUUUUCUAUUUUGAUACUUUCACUUUUAAUUAAUGGUCAACUUGCUAUUUGGAAUCUCACUAAGCUUUACCUCACUCUAUUAGAUUUGUUUUACUUACUGGGGGUACGAGCGAGGCGUGAAACUGGUAUAUGCUAGCAAAGUCUAGUUUUUGAAAAUUUUGCGGUUGUACUCGCACUAGUCGCUCAAUUAGGUUGGAUGUAUUUAGAACUUUAAUCAUUUGAUAUAUUUGGGAUUGUAUGGAUGAUUGAAAUAGAAAUGAAUGUACUUGUACGUUCCAAACUUGGGAACUGUUAUUUCUUUUACUCUUGAGAUUGCAACCUAUUUUCUUGAAGUGAGUGAGCGAGUCCUAGCGAGAGCUGAGCAGACGGUCUGCUAAACCCUGGGGUAAGUCAUAGGGGGAGGUGGGAUCGUCACAAAGCUUGCAACUCCAACCUUGAAUCAAGCCUUGUUUGAGUGAAAUCAACAAAACUAAACCGAUUAAAAUUACCUCUUGGUGCUUGGAAAGCUUGGUGUGGUGAAAUUUUUGGAAGAUAGUGGUUUGUUUUUCACUUGCAAGAAGUUUUAGGCAGGUAAAAGUCUUGAACUUCCUUUUCUCUUGCUUAAUCUUGCUAAAUUUGGUAUAGAAGCUUUCAAUCUUGGCUUGCUAUGGUUGAUUUCCUAGUUUUUUAUGGUGUAGUAGAAUUUUCAGCUAGGGUUUACAUUUUUCAGUUUUGAUUAGUGUUGUUUAACUAGUAAAUGAUGUUAUUGAGCUUGGAAAUGGAACUUGUGAAGUGAUUAUGGGCUUGAGUGUGACUUUGUAGAGUCAAAAGUUGAAUUUCCAGCAUUUGGUGGUGAAAUUUCAGUUCUGCCCUGUUUCUGGACUCAACUUUGGGCUACGAAUUUCUCUAUGUUUUUUAUUGAAUCAGCUUUUAGACAAAACAUGAAAGUUAUAGGGAUUUGAGUGAAAUUUCUACUUGAAAAAUAUCAGAUCAAUUGGAUCAUUGUAGCUUAGGAUUUGACCAGAGCACUUCUGACUACACAAAAACUCUAAUAUUCCUGACUUGUUUUCAUGUGUGUCUGACCAUUUACUUUUGACCCUGAAAAUGCAAGAAUUGGAUGUUGAUGUCUCCAUAGGAAAUGUAGGUCUAUGUCUUAGCUUAGAAAUGCCAUAAAAUUUAUCUUGAUCUGAUAUACCUAGCUACAGUUACGACCAAAACACCAAAGGAUGACAAAACUGCCAUUUAUCAGUUCUUCUAUAAACUGGUUUCCAGCUUUGGUCCAUGGUGAUAAGUUAUUAUUUGGUUUGUUUGGUUGGUUUUGAGGCCUUGAAUAGUUGAAUAUUGUUGGUUAUCACUUGUGGUUGGAUUGGAGGGUUGUUGGCCUAUGAAUCCAAGUUGUACUUGGAUGGGAAAAGUAAGAAAAUAGGGGAAAAUGCUGCCCAAAUUUCUAUUACUUGCUCUUAUGAAUAUUUGCGAGAUGUAAGGUUUGAUUUAGGGUUAGUUGGAUCUUAAGUUAAAUAUGUAUCCUUGAAUGCACUUCAAUAGUAGUAUAUGAGUUGUUUUUUACCAAGAUUUGGUAUCAACUAAGAUGAAAAGUGUUAGUUUUAUCUCGAAAACUUUGAAUUACAUUUGGUCGGGCGGCUAGUGACCCUGGGAUAGUGUUUUGGUAUACUCGAGUAUGACCACGAAGGUUGGUGGAGAACUGGCCAGUGAAUUGGCUAGUGGCGGGAAAUGAAAUCAAUGAAUGAAUGUCAAGAACACUGGAGGAGUUUUCACUUGCAAAUGUUUUUCUAAUAAUUGGAGGGAUAAGGAAAAUGGUUGGCGAAUGAAUGAACGAAUGGCUCUACAUGAGCAUGUAUUCUUUUUAGGAGUGUGCUCUCAUUGCUUUUAUAUUGUGAAUGUUUUCUCGAUUAAUUGUUCUUCAAUGAAUAAUGUCCUUGUUUAAAUUGCUUGAUUACUUGUUUGGGAACCUCACUGGGCUUUUAGCUUAUUCCUUUAGUUUUUGUUUUCCUUACAGGGGAUACGAGCGAGGGAGUGAGACUGGUACAGACUAGCAUAGUCUAGCUUUUGAAUUUUUGCGAUUGUACUCGCGCUAGUGCUCGGUUAGGGUUGAAUGUAUCUGGAAUUCACGACUUUUAUUAUAUUUGGGAUUGUAUGAAUGUUUGAGACAGAAAUGAAUGUAGGUAUACAUUCCAAGUUUGGGAACUGUUAUUUCACAUAUUUUUGAGGUUAUACCUUAUUUUAUUUGAAGAGAGUGAUCGAGUCCUGGCGAGAGUUGGGCAGGCGGUUUGCCGAACCCUGGAGUACAUCCUAGGAGGAGGUGGAGUCAUCACAAAUGCUAUACACGAUCCAAGUUCAAUUCAACCUCAAAUCUUCGCUCAAGUUGCGAAUACAUAUGCCUAACCCUCGAGUAAAAAUUUGGGCAGUAUGCCCUUUGUAUUUAGCUAUUUUCCAGCCACUUAUGGCUUCAUUUUUUUUUUCCUCAACUCAGCCCGAUUCAACACAUAAGCAAGAUUAACAAAAUACCUCUUUAACUAGGCUCAAUAUCAUCCAAAUACAGGUCAAUUCUAGCAAUGCAACCAUCAAAAUCAAAGCUAGAAACUAGUUUUAAAGAAGAAUGUCUAAGUGGUAGAUUUGUCAUCUUUCAGUGUUUUGGUCAUAACUGCAGCUUGGUAUAUCAGAUUGAGGUAAAUUUUAUGGCAUUUUCAAGCUAAGACAUAUACCUACAUUUCCUAUGAAGAUAUCAACACCCAGUUUUCACAUUUUUGGGGUCAAAAAUUGAAAUCUCAGAGAAAAUAGAAAACUGUCUGUUAAACAGGGCAUUUGGGCAGUCAGGGGUAUUUAAGUCAUUUCACAAGCUACAAUGCUCUGAUUGAUCUGAAAUUUUGCAGUCAGGAAGCUAACUCAACUCCUACAACUUUAUUUUUUGAGAAAGAACUGAUUUGGCCUUUAUCAUGGACGAAUAUGCAGUUCCAGUUGGAUCCAAAAACAGGGCAUAAUCACUACCAAAUGCUAGAAAUUCAACUUUUACUCUAACAUGUCACAACCAAGCCAUUAAUCACUUCACCAAAUCCAUAUCCUAACUCAAUAACAUCACUUACUCGGUAAACAACAAUAAUCAAGACUGAAAAAUGCAAACCCUAGCUAAACAUUUCACUAUACCAUCAAAAACUAAACAAUUAACCAUAACAAGCCAAGAGUAAAAGAUUCUGUACCAAAUUUAAGAUUAAGCAAGAGAAAAGAAAGUGUUAGCCUUAUACCUUCCAAAAGCUUCUUGCAAGUGAAAAACAACCCACUAUCUUCCAAAAAUUGCACCACACCAAACUUUUGGAAUCAAGGUCUUAAGGAGGAGCAACAAUGCUACAAUGCAAAGAAAAUGAUUGGUUGUACAAAAAUUGAUUCAAAUUGGGGCAAUUUUUGAAAUGAUUUUUCAGGUAAGCAUUCAAGAACUUUUUCAUGCAAUAACGUGUUUUUCUAUCACCGUUAGCAUCGAGUUUAUCUCACUAAUGUGUGUUUUUCUAUCACCGUUAGCAUCGAGUUUAUCUCAAUAACGUAUGUUUUUCUAUCACCGUUAACAUCAAGUUUAUCUCACUAACGUGUUUUUUCUUUUACCAUUAGCAUCGAGUUUAUCUUACUAACGUGUUUUUUCUAUCACCGUUAGCAUCGAAUUUAUCUCUCUAACUCGUUUUUUCUAUCAUCGUUAACAUCGAGUUUAUCUCACUAAAGUUUUUUUUAUCACUGUUAGUAUCGGGUUCCUCCCACUAACGUCUCUUCCUACUUCCAUCAGGCUAGGUUUUUAUCACACUGACCUUUAUAUGUUUACAGGUUUCAACUCACUACAGAAUAACGACAGAUAAGUAUUUUGUGUUUAUGUCUUUAUCUCGAGUCUCUUCGAAACUCAGACAAAGAGGGGCAAGCUGUAGACACCAAUAUUUCAAUUUUUAUCUAAUUCAAUUUUAGCUUUAUUUUUUUAUUAUUUAUUCUUUUAUUUUAAUUUAAUUUUAUUUUAUUUUAAUUGAUUAAAUGACAGUUAGUGUUUAUUUUUGUAAAUUAGGUUUAUCAUUUUCAUUUUUAAGGUAUUUUGCAUUAAGUUUCUAGAAAAGGAAAAUUUCUCGCAAAAGUUCAAAAUUUGUCUUUAAUCCUUUUAGAUUCAUUUUUUUAAAAUAAAUGAAAAUUGUGCAACGCAUUUGCAAUUAGGAAUUAACAUUUUAUUUUUUUGUUUACCUAAAUUAUUUUUGGAAUAUAUAAUAAAUAAAUAAAAUAAGAAGAUAAGUGUAAUAGGGGAUUAUUAGACAAGUAUAUUAGGGGGAUAGUAGCCAAGUGGAAGCCAUGCGAGAUGGUUAGGUGUGAUGGAUAGGCUUUAGAUAAAUGUCCUUAUUAUUUGAUGAGUAGGAUGACACUUGUUGAUUGAGGGGAUUUUUGGGAGGAAAAACAAAAAAGAGGAAAAAGAAAACUAGCUACAGGAAAACCAAGGGAAAAAGGGCAAAAGGCAAAGGGGCUGAGGGAAGAAUGGGGUUGUAGGGAGCUACGAAAAAAUCAGAAAAAGGAAAGGGAGAGAGGGAUGGAGAGGAGAAGUUAACGGCUGAGUCGUCUAGGGAGAAAAAAGGGUUCGGCCGAGGGAGUAAGAGAGCUUCGGGGAGAGCUUGCGGAAAAAAUUGGGAGAGCUUCGAGAGAGGGGUUGAACAAAGGGGGAAAAAUCUGAAAGACAAGGAGCAGAGGAAGAACUGGAGCUGCUACCACCUCGUUGGAAUCUCCCACUACCGCCUGUGAAUUUUCACCGUGACCACCAUAAGUUAUCCCUUUCCUUUGCAUUUCAGUCUUCCUUGAAGCACAGGCUUUGGAAGCUUUCAGAGCAUGUGUGCCGUGCCUUUAUUUAUUGCAAUUUUCCUGUUGGUUGUUCAUGAUUUUAGAUUGUACAUGCCUUAUGUGUCAAUUGGACCGAAGUACUUUGUUUUCUGAACAAUUUUGGGGCUGAUUAUAACCUCAAUUGAGCAAAAAUUCGGUGUAAUUUUAAUGUCCAUUUGCUGCUUGAUGAAAUGCUUGAUUGAAAGUUCUAAUUGAAAGAUGAUUUGUCUGCAUUUUUGCGUAUGAAGAAACUGGAUAAGUCAGCGAGCUCAUUUCCUUGCGUUUGAGAAAUUUUGAUGUAUUGGUGUCUUGCACUUUUUCUGUUUUUCGUUUCCUUAUGCUUCCCUUUGUAUGAAUCCGAAUUAAUGUUAGGAGAGGGAGUUUUUUUUUGUGAAUUUCGUUGUCUGAUGGGAAUGGCUAGAGUUGAAACUGAUUUUUGGUAUUGCUCUUAUUGCAAAAAGGACGAAAAUGGCGGAUUGAUGUCUAAUCUGUUUGGAGAAGACGACCGUUUGUUUAAAUUCAUAAUUGCGGUCCCUCUAUUUUCUUUUGUUUGUGAUUUAGCCCUAGAGUUUCGAAACUUCAUAAUUUACCCCCAAAAGCUAUUAUAAUUUUUUCAAUUAGGUCCCUGUUCCAGUUGUCUAUCUAAGCUCUGUAUCAAAAUUUUCAAAAAUUUUGUAGUUUAACCCCUCAAUUUUUUCUUAAUUAUAUGAGGACCCUCAAAACUUUAGUUUUCUUUUGAUUAGGUCCUUAUUUUAAUUGUAAUUUGGUCCUUUUAUUUUAGUUUUCUUUAAUUUUAACCCUAACAUUUGUAAUAAUAGGGAUUGACCCCUAAAACUUGUUAAUUAUUUCAAUUAUGCCCUUACUUGUUUUAAAUUCCUUGAAUAUGGGUUGUUAUUCUUAUGCAAAUAUUUUAAUUGAUUCAAUUUCGUGUUUAUUUUUCAUUUCAUGUGAUUAUUUGUUAAUUAAAGUGAUGCCUUGACCGUUUUCUUUGUUUUGGAGGGUAAAUAAGAAAAAUUUCAUUUCUUUAGGUCACCAAUUCAAGGGAGGUACACUCUAUUCCUUUAUGUUGAUUUUAUUUGAUCCUAUGUGCUACUACGUGAUUUUAUGUGUAUAAUUGAAUGCCUUUUUUGGAAUUUUAUUUAUUUUAUUUUAUUUUAUUUCAUUUAUUUCUUUAUUCACUUCAUUUGUUUUUAUUUUGUAUAUUUAUUUUAAUUUAAUUUUGGGUUAUUUGAGAGGCAUUUAAAUGCCAAAUUGUUAUAGUUAGAUUAUUAUUUAUUUCAUUUCAUUCUUUACCCCUCUAAAUUGUAGUUAGGGCCCCCAAAUGUAAUAAUUAGGGCUUUUUUUUGCUUUUUUUGCUUUGUGUAUUUUGCAUGCUUGUGUGUUUACGUGUUACUCGCUUUCUUAGGGUCUUGCAUCUAGAUAUCAUACUUAUGUGCUAUAUGUGAUUUAUGUGUUUAUUUGUUUUAUUAUGUUUUACAUGAUUUAUUUGAUUGUAAUAAAUGCAUGACAUCACCAUACUAGUCAAACGCAAGUUGUGGCCCCCUUUUUCCGAUUCCACACUAGUCCAACGCUAGUUGUGGCCCUCCUUUUUAAUUUCUCACUAGUCUAAUGUUAGUGGGAACUUAUAGACAUCGGCUAAUCCAACGCUAGACCCUUAGGGACCAUCCACGCGCUAAAUCAUGUUUGUGUGAUAAUCACUACAUUUUCAUGCAUAUUUUUUACUUUAAGGGCUUUUUCCAUUUUUGCAUGAUAUUUUCCCUACAUGUAUAGCCCUUAUGUGACGCCCCGAAAAGUAUGAGUAUGAGAAUCCGAAAAUUUUUUUUAAUAUAUUUUCUAGACGUUAUUUUGUUUCCUUGUCUAUAAUUUUGUACCUUUCUUCAAUAUAUUCAUUUCUUAUACAUUUUUAUAAGGAAAUAUAGUUUUCAAAUCAUUUCCUUGAUACAAGUUAGUCCACAUUAAGUUUGAAGUGUAUUAUGGAUGUGGGACCCGCUAGUGCGGUAAAUGUGGUAUAUUUUUGACAACUCAUUGGAGUUAAUUGUAAAGAUUAAAAGAAGUUUGGGCCAUAGUGUGACUUUGGUUGAUUACAAGUUGCUAGACUUCCUAAAGGUUCCAUGAUAUUCCUAAGCUUAAUUUUCAUUGGCUAAUAAAAAAGGUAGUGGACUUUGACCAAGGGACUUAGUUAAUAUCUUCUUAGCAAGACUAAAGGCCAAAACAACAAGGAGAAUUUCAGCCAGCUCUAGGGAGAAAAGAGGGGAGAAAAACCAAGAGAAAAUAAGAGAAAGAACAAGAAAAAAUUCUGGUUUUGUGCAACCCAUCCAACAAGCUUGGGAGUUGGAGCAAAAGAAAGCUAAUGAACUUGGUUCUUGAAGUGCAGCAUUGUAAACCCACCUUUGGAAGGUAAAGCAGCCUUGAACUCUUGUAAAAGCUUAUAGCAAUUGGGUAGAAAUGUUGUUUUUGAUGUUGUAAGAUGCUAAUAAGGGUUAAUGAUGGUUUAUAUAUCACUUUUGUGGGUUUGUGUGGAAGAUUUGGUGAUUUCUAUGGUUGUUGAGAAAAUUCCAGAAUUGAGAUUUCUUAUGGUUCAGUUCUGCCCAUUUCUGUUUGACCAGGAUAGAGGCCGAAUUGGCCUUAGCACAAAACAUAAAAGUUGUAGAUAAUGAUGUUUUCUAGUCACCUGUAAAUUUUCAGCUCAAUCUGAGCUCGGAAGCCUGUGAAAAGACCGAAAUACCCCUGCUACCCUGUUUCUGUCCGAAACUGAUAAUCAGCUUUGGUAAUUGGUUAGUUUGACUGGGAAUACUACUGAUUUAGUUGUUGAUGUCUUCUUAAGAAUUCUAGCCCUGUAUCUUAGCUUUCAAAUGUUUUGGAAUUACCUGAAUUGGAGUUGUGUGUGCUGAGAUAUGAGUGAAUAAAGCAAGACUGCUAGUUGAUUUCCGUAGUGAAUUUCGAACUGGAAAAUCUGGAGUUGUUUUGGAAAAUUUGACCUAGUUAGGGUGAGAACUGGACUAAGUGGUCUUCAUGAAAGUUAUAGGGAAUGAUAUUUUAGAGGUGCAUCCAAAAUUUCAGGUCAAUCGGAGUAGCGUAGCUUGAGAAAAGACGGAAUUACUAUUGCUGUUUUGGUUUUACCCGAAUGUAAGAAUUGCGCCUGUAAUUGGUUGUUUUGGUCAGGAUUGCUUCCGAAUUAGUUGUUAAGGCCUUCUGAUGAAAUUUAUUCAUGUUUCUUAGCUAUCAGCUGGUUUUGGAAUUUCUGGAUUUGGACUUGGAGAGACUGAGUUAUGAUGUUUCCGCUAGAAUGCGUUCUGUGAAUCCGUUUUUGUGAUUCUGGUGUAGUUUCUUGCAUUUUUUACCUGGUUACACUCAAAACUGGGUUGAGUGACCUUCUGGAAUAUUGUAGCCCUGUCUCUUAGCUUAGAAACGGUGGGUCUUUCACCUUCAUCCGACAAUCGUAGCGCCUUUGGCACCAUUACCGUAAAAUGACGUCCAAAACUGUUUUUCUGAUUUUGAGCUUAACUUUCAUUUCCGAACUUCUCCCUAGCUUGAAUUGUACUCGUAUUACUUGGAACUUGCUGAAUGGCUAUUGGAUGAACUUGUUGUUGUAUGUGUACCUUUGGGACUGGCUGAAGAUAUAAUGAAGCCAUGAUGGCUGGGAAAGUAAGCAAAUUUAGGGGAAGUGCUGUCCGAAGUUUUAAAGGAUUUGAUUGCAUUGAGUUUGUGAUCUAAGACUUGGAUUUCAGCAAGGCAAUGAUAUAUGAUGGAUGGUUUCUGAGCCAUGGAGGUGAGUGACCUCAAACUACUUCUAAAGUUAUUUAUGAACCGUUUCUUACAUUUUUUACUUUUGAACUGUUUCCAAAGUUACUUUUGAAAUGUUUUCUUGCAUAUCAUGUGUGCUGGCAUUUGAGUGUGCCUUGUUUGCUAUAUUUCUUGACUUCAUGACUUGUAUUUUGGUUGAUAACGUGUUAAGCGCUUAUAAUGAUUUCCAAAACGAGUUUUCGAGGCGAGUGUGUACUUUAUCGCACUCGACCUCGAUAAAUGUGAAAUUUUCAAUUGAAAUGUUACCUGCGCAUGAAUGUAAGCCUCUUGGGCUGAACUGGCCAUUGCCCCUUGUUACCGGUCGUCUUGAGCCAGAAGCGGACUCGGUCAGGCGAUUAGGAACUUGGGUGAACGUUUGGUAUACUCGAGUAUUACCUAUGUAGGUUGGUGGAGCCUGGCCAAAAGCCAGGGACGGGGUGAAUGAAAUGAAAUGAAUGACCAAAUGAGCGAGGACAUGUCAGGAGAAUGAAUGUAUCCUUUCAUGAAUGUUACUAUCGCUUUCCAUUGUAAAUGUUUCUUGAAUUAUCGAUAAUCCAUAUUUACUGUUUUGCAAAUGAUGUAGUUGUUUCCGGAUUUAUCAUUUAAUUUAUGACAUCAUUGCUAUAUGACAUCAUUGAAAUGAACUAUUGUGAAACCGAUUUGAUUAAUGAUUUUCUGGUUACUCGCUGAGCUUUUAGCUCACCCCAAAAACUAUUUUUUCCCCCUCCACAGGGCUCAAGGCAAAGGAAGGACUUGUAGUACUUAUUCACGUGUCUGGAUGGCUGAUAUCUUGUAUAGUUGGAUUUGGAAUCAUUUGAUGUAUAGUUGGAAAUUGUUUCCGCUUCGCUUGUGACAUAUAAUUAUUGGAGACUUGGAUGUGUAAUUGUGGGAACAUUUGAUGUACUAUUUGAGAUUUAUAUUGUAAUUCAUUUGAGGAUUGUAGUGAACGACUGAGUCCCGGCGAGAGCCGGGCAGGCGGCCCGCCGAACCCUCGGGUACGCCCUAGGGGGAGGUGGGGCCGUCACACCUUAUCCCAUAUUUUCAUAUGUAUAUAUAUAUAUAUAUAUAUAUUUCUUAUCCCCAUGUGCGAAACAUAACAUUUAGAUUUGCAUCUCAUUUAAGGAAAAUUAGGAGUAGAUUAGUACAUUUGCUUGAUUAAUUACCCCUUGAAUAUGGGAUAUAGACGAGUAUGGCUCUCUAACCUUAGCACGCUCGUAUUCCCUCUAUUAAAGGGAAAAUUAAAAUCACGAACCUAGCCCUCCGCACCCAUUAUGAUGCAUUCCCUCAGGUCACGUAUAUUUGUAAAUUAUUAUUUCUUUCUUUUUUCGAGUCUCAUUUGUUACAAACAUCGUGACCUCUUUAAAGAGUCACUUGUAGGCAUUGCAAUUAAUGCGAUUUGCACCAAUCAAACUUUGAAUAGAUAUUCCGACCCUUCCAAUAUACAUUAGGUCUAGGUUUGCAUUCAUAUAGUGACAUCCAAAUGUGAUAAAUUUUUAGAUUAAUUUAAGAAAACUUUUGACUAAAUCACGCAACUAGUCUUUGAUAGAUUGAAAGGGUGCCUUGGAUUUUAUCCUUGCCUUCCCUUUUUUCAAAUAUGACUCCCGACCCAUUUUCUCUUGAUUUUCGCAAACUUUGAGUCGUUUAAAACGGGUUUUCUUUACUUUUUAUUUUUAAUUCAUUUUAGGUGAUUUGGUACACCUUAACUCAAUACCAAGUGGCGACUCCUAUUUUUCAUUAAAAAUCCUUUUUAAACUAUUAUUUUGGGUCAAAUCGUCGCACUUUAAGUCCUAUUUUAGACCCAUUUCAUUUUCUUUAUUCAUUUUUCUAAUAAUCAAAAAUCAUUUUUCAAUUAAAAUUAAAUCCAAAUUCAUUUUCUAAUUAAAAAUUCAUUUUUCUCAAAAUUAAUCAACAAAUUCAUAAACACGUUAUUUUUUAAUUAAAAAAUAGGGCGCGACAGUUUGGCGACUCCACUGAGGACUUAGAGAGUCCGAGCAUUUGAUUUAGUCAAUUCUUUUUUCUUUUAACCUUUUAUAUAUCACAUUUGGAGGUUUAGGGUUGUAUUUUUCCUUUUUUUUUUAGGGUUUCUUGCGUUCACGCACGCAAUCGUUUCGAUUUCCAUCUUUGUGAUAAGUAAUGUGUUUAUUUUCUUUCAUUUACUUAUGUUUAUAUAUCGCGUUUGCAUCUUAGGGAAUGGGGGUAACUGCCCUAGAACCGUCAACCGCAUUUGAUGGUAUCUAAAUAAUCCCUCCCUUCAAAAUAGAUCAAUUCAUACGUGCAUACGCUCUACUUUAUAAACCCUCAUUUCUUUUUUACUUUUAUUGGUUGUCAUGCCACUCUUCCCUAUUUAGGAUUAGGAUUGAUCCACUUGGACAUGUGACCGUGGCACGACGUGCACGUAGCAAUAUCUGAGGGAUCACUCAAACCACCGAUUCUUAGGCUUUGGGAUUGAUGACCCUUUGCCUUUGGUCUGAAGGUUUGGGAGUCUAAAGCCUCAUCCAGUCUAGACACAUUAGUGAGCCCAACCUCACACAUCCAUAUUAGAAAUCGCCUAGGAUAGAGUCUGUUGACCUUGGUCCCUAGCUUUUAAUGAUUACAAAACAAAUGGAUGUUGCUAACAUCUCCUCAAAGGCUUUUUCAGAAAUGAAACAAAUCAGAUUCAAAGAUUAAGCACAGUUGAAAAAGACAGAGUAUGCUGAACCUGUCGGACGCUCAAGAAGACAGUACCGGACGUCCGAUAAUCAUUGCACAACUUCGGACGCAUGCUUCGGACGUCCGAUAGGAUUCUUCGAAGUCGACAAAAAUAUCGGACGCUGAAUAUGUCUCUACCGGAUGUCCGAUAGAAACAAGAUAAUUUCUCAAAUCUCUUUGUUUGCUGUCGGACGCACAAAAAGCUUGCACCGGACGUCCGAAAGAAUUGAAGAAAAUCUCUUAAACUCACUGCCUGCUGUUGGACGCAUAAAACAGGGCUAUCAAACGUCCGACACUCCAACGGCUAGUUGACUCUUCAGCUACUUUCUAUCCAUUGGAAACUUUAAUGAGGCACUUUCUUGAUCCUAUAUGAAUAGUUUUUAGUCAGAUACUUCAAACAACUUUUGCACACUGAAGAUACAAAAGAUCUAGAGAGAUUUUAGUGAGAAAAUACUCUUCAAGGAAGAUUUGUAGUCUUAGUGGUAUGAGGUUCUUUGUAAGCUUUUCAUUUGUGAGUGAAUACUUCAUAAGUGUAACUCUGUGAGGGUUAUCCUGAGGGAUAGUAAAACGUCCUGGCUUGACCGAGUGGAGUUUGGAGCAAGGAGGAGGUGAACCUUCCUUUGUACACAAGAGUGAUUGUAAUUCAUCAACUUGAAAUAGCUUGUUUGAAUUAACUUACAAGCUUGUAGACACCAAAUUUUUAGCGUAAUUUCAUUUACUAUUUAAUUCUUAGUUUUUAUUUGUCGUGUUAAGUUUUAUUCACUUUUUAGUUUUUAGUUUUUAUUUUAUUAUUUUUAUUUUAAACUUUCUAGCAUAAAAUUUCUCGAAAAAGGAAAAAAGAAGAAAGAAAAGCAUUCAAAAAUAUGAUUUAGUUGUUUGUGAUUUAAUUUCAAUGUUUUCUUGAAAAAAAAAAAAGAGAAAGAGGAAAAAUGAUGAUGGAAAAUAAAAUAAAAAGGAAAAUGGAAUUUGCACUUUGUUGUUUUUAGUUUAUUUAUUUUUAUCCAAUGUUAAUUAAGUUAUUUUUGUUAUUUAUUUUUAUUAUCAAUUUUGUUUUAAUUAAUCUCAAAAAAAAAAAAUACGCGACUUGCAAGCUGCGUAUUGUCGCAGCUUGCAAGGAAGGACUGGGCAGCUCCUUUAGUUGCAAUUUUGGGAAAGAUGGCUGGGAGUUUAGGGUUGAGGUCCUAUAUAAAUAGAAAAGAAGAAGCGCAGCUUUCGGGGGAAGUGUGGAGGAACGGCAAAAGAAAAAUCAGAAGAGAGAGUGACGGCUGAAAACUAAAAAGAAAAAAAAAUAGAGGAAGGAAAGGGAGGAGCUGGGGUUUCGGGAGUGAGGCUAGUGACGACUAAGGAAGCAGAAACCAGAAGGAUUGAAGGGAACAAUGAGAGGGCUACAGGUGGAGUGAAAUAGAAACGAGAGAGAGAGAGAAUUUUCUGGGCAAAGAAACCCAUCAUCGGGCUGACGGGGAGCCAGGUUCAGGGCAGAAUUUCGACCAAAUCUUCGGAUAGAAGGAUGUUAUUUCUGUUUCUGCAUCUUUCCUAGGCAUCAAGCAGCAAUUUUUGUUCAAGGAUCAUCCAUUAAAGGCACCUCCAACGCGGCCAAAUCUGAGCUCCAAGUUACAGAUCUUCCAACGCUGCAUAUCACUAUGGCAGAGUUCUUCUCGGCAGUUUAAAUCCGUGCGCCUUGCCUGGGGAAUUUUUGUGGUUGUUUCAAUCUCAUAAGUGGCAAAGGUAAAUCCUUUCCUCCUCUCCUUCUCACACAAGUCCAAAUUUUCCUUAAACAUGCCAAGGGUCUUGCUGCACUUUUGUUUAUUUUGUCAUACCUUGCCGUUUUUCUUCUUAGAAUAGCCCACCAAGUGGGUUUUUAUCACCUGGUUUGCUAUUUAAUCGUGUAUUAGAAAGAAAAAUUGAACAAUUGAUGUUGGGGUUGCAAGUUUCCUGGUUUCUUGAUAAGCUGCAUUCGUCCUUAUGCUCUACGGUUUCCUUUGCUGCAUUUUUGUCCUGUUGCUUUGAUUGGAUUUUCUGGAAUAGAUAAUGGUGCUUAGGUGAUGUUAACAAGGAUGGUUUGGAGUUUUCACAUUCGGUUUUGGUUGUUAAAUUGGUAAAUUUCGUUUGAGUUGUUUCACACUUCACAUCUAGGCAAAUAGCCAAAGGUUGCUGCAAUUUCAUACCAAUAAGAAAGCUGCAUUUUCAUUCUCAUGUUUUGCUGCUUUUCCCUGGUCCCGUAACAACUCCUAAAGUUGAUUUUCCUCAACUUGUUUUGCAUGGUUAAUCUUAUGUCCAUAAUAGUUGUAGAGAGAUUGAUGAGGCUUGGGUUUAGUUACAACUUUGGCCAUUUUUCUGGGUUGUUAACAAGCUGCAAAAUGGUGAAAACAAGAAAACUUUGAUUGACCGAAACCUUCAAUGCUCCAAGUUCAUCUUCUUUUGCUGAUUUCGUACCCAAUUCCCUGUUUGAUUCCCGGAGUUAAAUAAUGACAUUUGGAUGAUGUUAAUAACAUGGUUUUAAGGCCAUUGCAUGUGUGUUUGUUUUGGUUGGAUUUGUUCCAUAUCAAUGCGUUUGGAUUGAAACAAAAAACUGCAGCAAACAUGGCUUGUUCACCGUUGUAAAAAUGUUUCCCUCCAUCCCCUAGUUGAUUUUUCUGCAUAUUUUGCUCCAGAAUUUCUGUUUACAAACACUAGGUAAUUUGGUUGAUGUCUUGGCAAAUUAUGUUAGAGGACUUGGAUGGUUUUGAUUGUUAGACUCGCAAGUUACAAAGUUGCAGCAAUUCAUUUAUUUGUUUUGAUUGCAGAAGUUUUCUCACAUAGUUGCAUGAAGCUUGCAUGCAAAUGGCUUUCAAAAAUUACCCUUUAACCCCUCUAAUUCCCCUUUGUUUCACUAGGACCCAACCAAUUGAAUAAUCUCUUCAUUUUGGUCCUUGGCGGCUUUAAUUUUACAACUUCAUUGCUUGUUUGUUUCAAUUAAUUACUAUGCUUUGUUUCAAUUGCACUUAAGUCAUGACUUUAGGGGCUUUAUGAUCAAGUGAGCUUUGUUUUGCACAUUUCUUUUAAUUUUUCUUAAUUAAAUUGGUACCUUGACCAUUUCUUUUAUUUUUGAGGAUAAAUAAGUGACUUCACCCCAUUAGAGCUCCAUUUUAAGGGAGGUAUAAUUUCUUUUAUCCUUUUUUGUCUCUCCUAUGUGAUCCAACGUGCUAAGUGAGAAUUACAUGUCUAAUUUGCUUUUCUUGCCUUUCUUUAAGUCCUUUAUUUCAUUUACUCUUGUUUUU